UUUGUUUUUGAAACAUCAAGUGGCCAGAGACUCGAAAAAUUAUUUGCCCAUUAGUGACUUGUCAGGGCGGUGGAUUUUAGUUUGUACGAUAAUGCUGCAUCCACCUAAAGUAACGAAAGUUCUCACGUAAACUUCCUAGUAAUUCCCUCUUCGUAGGUGCAACAUUACUCCUAACAUUUGUAAUAUCAGUUUGAAACUUGUAAUAUUGCCGUGUCCUAUUCCUGCAUCUUCAAAAUCCCACGAAUCAAACAGGUCCUGAGUUGGUGAUGAUGUUGUGCCUGCCAUCUUUCACCAAUAGCCAUCGGAUCUAGAUCUGACACAUACAAACCAAACUUCUCCAAUUUUGCAAAAAGAUGCCCGCACUUGUUCCCUAUUUACAAACAGCUCCUUGUCUCUCACAAUCAGCCUUAUCUCCUCCCCACCACAUCUAGAAGGCCAUGGAAAAAUCUGGCGCGAUGGCCGCUGCCGGCACCGUCCACCCCCCAAUCUUGGUGUUCCGUGCAAUGCACGGGCAUCUACGCACGGGAAAUUAUGUCGAACACGGCUAGUUGUAAGCAGGCUAGGUCUACAGCCAUGAUGAUAGUGACUGCAGACGGUGAGGCUGACUAUGGUAUGCCGAACACGGCGCCUAUACUCAGGUGUCAUCUCCGGCGUAGGGUCUUGUCACUUCACUGGGAGGAGCAGCACGUAAUAAUUUGACCAACGGGUAGUACAGUGCUACUACAUUGGUAGUACUACUACUACUAGUACUAGCACCACCGUCUGGAUUUAGUAGUACUACCACGUCCAUCUGGAUUUAGUAUUUGACUAGCAAUAUCUAGUAAUGCAUGUCACAAAAAAUGUACUGCUCCCUCUGUAAAUAAAUACAUGGUGUAUUGUUUUAUUCCUAUCGGCGAGAUAACUUUAUGUCUUUUUCUACUUAAUAGGAUUACAUGCAAUGAACUAACCACUGCAUGUGAUGUUUGGUAGUCUCAAGUCAUUGAAAGCAUGCACUACUGCACCUGCCUUUGGGUGCAUGACACGUGGGCCCAACGGGUGGCUGGCCAACCUGUCAUACAGCCAAAGGAAGGUGCAGUAGAGGGGCGAGGAGUAGAUGGCCAACACGCACGUGAAUUCAACGGAGUCUGCACUUCUCAUAUAAAGGCUCCCGCCACUCCAAUCUACGAAAUCCUACGCACCUACGCACCCAAGGGCAAGAGUGAUCACUCCAAUCGCAAGAUCAAUUGACUAGAAGCUAGACCCAUGGAGGCGAUGAGCGCGAGCAUCAGCCGGCUAUGCCAGAUGGUCCACGACGGCGGCUUGUGGCCCGGCACCGAGGAACAUCUCCAGGUAGUGCUUGAGGCCGCCAGGGCUAGGGGCCGCUUGGACGACAGCUUCGUCUCCUUGUUCGACGAUCGUCGGCUUCCUCGACAAGUUCACCGUCAUCAAGAAGCUCGCGGACGACCUUGACGUACCCCUCCAGCCCACGCGCCCAGGCUCUGUGAUGCCUGCCACCCUCAACGGCCUCUAUGGUGACAACCUCUUCGACGCACUGGUGGCCCUGCGACUUCCCGCCAUCGCGCCGGAGAAUGUCCACCUCAAGGUCGCGCUCGCCGCACAGCGCCUGGCGCAGCAAGACACCAUCAACAUAAUCACCCACGUCUACACGCAAAUUGUCCACAAGGAAUACUACAUGCAAGAGGAGGAAGAUAGGACGCUGGUCUUCUUGGACUGCAGGGCAACCUUGGACAGCAUUGUUCAGAAGCACAUUGAGCUUGCCGCCAACGCCGCUGCUCCUCACCCGUCGGUUGGUGACCCGGUGCACUAGGGCGUGAGGAUGUCGUUGAUGGAUCCAUAUGUAUCUUUAUCUUUCCGUCAAAUCCAUGUAGUAGUAUAUGGUACUACUAGUAAUUAUCUUACCUUUCGCAUCAACUUCAUAAUUUUCCUACGUACUCCAUUCAUGAACCGCGCCAGAACCAAACUUCUCAUUACUCUAGGGAAAAUCGUUAUUUCUAUCUAUCGGUCUCGCCAUGGAGCAGAACCAAAUUUUACAAGUUACAAGUUGAAAAGGAAAAGCCUGCCGUGUUUGCGUCGCACACCCACACGGUUGGUCUGGCACGCCGCUCAAAGGGGAAUGUGUGCAGUGUUGCAUUUUCACUUACAAGUGGGACCGCAGUUGAGCAAACCGACUAUCGGCAAACCCCCACCCCGCCCACAGCGCGAUGGCUGAGAAAACAGGAGGGAGAAGAGAUGGCUGUAGCACGGACUCCAAGAAAAUUGGUGUCGGAUGGGACUCGUGUGGGUGGCGUGUGCCGUACUGCUAGACAUGAAUGCUAGUUAUGGCCCAUGCCACCCCACUAUAUCGAGGUGCUGGUUACGUAGAACAAAUUUCCUGGAGUCCGUGCUCAGCCCUCCUCUAUCUCUCUUCUCAGCCAGCUAGCAGACGCGCGGAGCCCAUUGUCUGUUUGCUCAUAUGCGGUCCCACAUGUCAGUGAAAACGCAAGAGGACCCACUGAACCUGCACAUCUUUCACCUCGACAUGUUGGUGAUGAAAAACAAAUCCAAUAAAGAUCUUCGGUGGCCGCUUUUGGAGUUACUCAAGAGUAGUAAGAUUCUAUUUACAGUUUAACACAAGAUGCACAUCACGUGGCUUCAACAACCACUCUAUUUUAUUGCAUGACAUGACCUGGAUGCUGGAUGUCCCACGUGUCGGCAAAAGGAGGAAGAACUCGACCAAAUCUUCGGUUGUGCUCUCGGAUUAGACUAGUUGUGCUAACUUAAAAUUUUAUUGUGUAGAAUGGAUGCAAGUUUUGGUAUUGGGAAGAAGAGUACAACGAUAUAUAUAUUGAUAGAGCGCAAUUUAGUAGAUGUUCUAGAACUUUUAGCUAGCAUAGAGGCUAGAGAUGAGACUAGUGCACUUGUUUAUAGAAUAGAGGCUAGACACGUCUACUUCUUUACACUCGAAGAAGAAAGAAGCAUGCAGGAUCGAGCCUCCGUAGAUCAACAAUGAAUGUAUCGAGAAGGCACUAAUCCAAGUUACAGGAGCAGUUCUGGAAGUUGGAUAUCUUCUAAAAUGUAUUCUUGUGGUUCUUGUUUUUCUAGUCAAAAUUUUGGUGAUGUAUUUCCAUGUACCAAAAAAUCAAUGAUGAAAAAAAGAUAUGUGUUUGCAAAGAAAAAUGUACGUGGCCGGGAUGCGUCCGCGUGUUCGGCGCACGACCACCGCAUCCGAGAAAUGGCCCGGACACGACCCCAUUGCCCUACCCAAACGGACAGAAUCCGGGCAAAACGAAGGUCCGUUUGGGGUCGUGCGUUGGAGUUGGCCUUACAAGUGGGACCGCAGUUGAGGAAACCGACUAUCGGCAAACCCCCACCUCGCCCGCUGCGCGAUGGCUGAGUUAGAGAAACAACGAGGAUGAAGAGAUUGAUGUAGCACGAACUCCAACAAAUAUGGUGUCAGAUGGAAGUCGUGCUGGUGGCGUGUGCCGUACUCCUGGACGUGAAUGCUUAUUCUGGCCCAUGCCACCCUACUACUCCUACUACUUAUAGUAGUAGUAUUAAGGAUUCGAGGUGCUGGUUACGUACAGCGAACACAUUAACAUAUGGCCCACCUCACACUGUGGCCAAAUUGCAUGGAGUCUGUGCUAGGUUAAAAAGUGUUCUUUGUGAGGAUGGGUGGCUGGUCUCAAGUUUAAAACUUGUUCUAUUACGUACGUAGAUGUAGAGAUAGUGCAGCAUGUGAAGCUAGUACAAAUAGUGUACUAUUGUUGAUUGGCCUCAUCCGAUAACCUGUUGCAAUGCACGUACAAUUAUGUAUUCGGAAAAUAUAUUUUUGCCUCGUCGCAGCACCCACUCAGAGAAGCGACUCGAAAGCCAUUCAUAAAUUUAGUAAGUUCAUCACAUGCAUAUCAUUUUAUUACCUACAAUAGGUCAUCAACCCACAACGACAACGAGGAUACAUUAUAAAUACUAAAGUUUUCAUCACACAACAAAUAACAAGCAAUGAAAUGAACUUCAACUCAACCAACUCGGCGUUGGAAACACUUGCUUUGAACCACAAGUGAUUCUCUGGGAAGGGCCAGCUACUGUCAAUCUCGAGACCAACGCAGGACUGAUCAUCCAGGCUGAAGCGGCCUACUAUAUCACGACCAGGGUAGGGAACCACCGCAAUGUCCGAUGAAUAGAUACAGUUGCUUCUCAUAAAUGGUAGUAACGGUGUGUCAAUGGCAGUUGGAUCGCCUUUCACCAUCAUUGGAUAGUUUUGUCCAAGGAAGAGCGAGUUUGCUCCAAGACUAUCAAUACUGUACCAGGGAGAAGGUGUUGGCGCUAGCACACUAGUAUCCAUCCCGAAUACCAUGCAACGGGUGUUGGAAUAGGUCCGGAGAGUGCGACCAUGGGAGACAACACCUGCUCCCUCAGUAGUAACAUCAGCAGUGGGCUGUAUACAGACAAGAAGUGGUGAUCCAUUAGAAUUAGUUGCCAGCCGCCAGUGAGCAUAUGGGCCCUGCUCGUCCUCAUGCUCGUGAUCAUCACCAUCGUGAUCUCCCCCUUGGUUAUAAAAAUUUUCAAGUAUAGGUGGUGGAAUGUGCACAUGACCUUGGAAACACAAGAAGAAGGUUAAUUAGUAGAGAAGGGAAACUUGCUAACUCGCAUGCAUGUGGAUGAAACAAUUAUAAUUACGGUGGAAGACAAAUGUACCGAAACUACGAGGAUCCCAUGCAAAAACAGCGCCACGAGUGGUGGCAGCAAACACAAGACCCUCGUAUUCAAUUGCAUCACAGUACACAUCCGUGUAUAGAAACUGUUUUUUGAGCAAUAUCCAUCCAGUCGAACCACGAAGGAUGGCAACAAACUUGUCGAAGAUAGCAACAACUUGAUAGUUCUUGUAAUUCCAAGAGCGGUUGGGAACUCGAGAAAUUGCUAUCUUCCGUAGACGACAGUCACCAUGAUCAUAUUUGAACGUACGUAGAUCAUCUGUGUGCUCAACCUCAGGGCACUCGGAGAUUUUUGGAAGUGGAAUGCCCUGAUGAGUGUACACAUUCACAAGUUCCCACUCGCAAUUGUACCCAAUAUAAAAAACCCAAUCUCCAUUUGCGCCUGCCCAAGCCUUGCCCUCAAGCGAUGGCAUCUUAACAUCAUACGUCUCAUUAUCAAGCGGCAUCAACUUACACAAGGUGAGGCUUCCCUCGUCCCCGCGCCAGUCAGCAGGGUCACGGCGAAGAAGAUAGGGGAGAUCAAACCGCUCCUGGACCCUUGGGUUCCUUGUAAUGAUGUUAUUAGUUGAGUCGAGAAUGUUCUUGAACGAACCUGCCAUGCUAGCCGAGGUGAUGACGUCGCACCGAUCAAUGAGUUCCCCCACCACGUCAUCUUUCAGAUCGGGGCAAGAAUAACGGGGUCGUUUCCGGCUUGUUCCCUCCAUGGAGAAGACGAUCAAACAAUGGCAUAAGGAAGGGUGAAGGCAAAUGGAGGAGGGAGGAAGAGCGUGCGACAGCAGUUCCAAAUCGGGAGGGAAAGGCGAAGAGUCGGUGGACGGUUGCCAGUUUGCCCCGGCCUACACGUCCUUUCGGAAAUUGUACAAAAGGACUCGCUGUCGUCUCACUGACAUGUUGGAACGGGACCACAUGUCAACUAAACAUGGUGUGUAAUUUCUCAUGCAAAAUGCGAUCUGGCCGCGUUGGCCCGAGGUGCCGCAUUAGUUAUCGACCUUUAUUUUUUUAACAUACAAUCUGAGUGGAUAGCUCCUGUGGUCAUCACACGUGAGCGGAUAUAUAGGUGGGCUAGGUGGGCAGGCGACAACAAUCUAAGUGCUAAAAUAGUUGAUCUCGAAAAAAGAGUUGAUCCAAUGCUUGGUUUUGUUUGGAUUUUCCAACUAUGACCAUUGGAUAGAGUGAAUCAAUGGCUUACGUUCAAAGUUAUUCUCAUACUAUAGAAUGGUAUAGGAACGUGGAGAGAUUUGGUUGAUUUUAUAUCGCUGAAUAAUAUAAAAUAUUAUGAGUGCAGACGCUCCACCCCGAGGUUUGUAGCUCCUUCUCGGUCGUCGGGAAUCUAUGUUCUUCCACUCUUUCGUUUAAGACAUGAGCUUUGUUCAUCCUGUUGCCGGCACGCGGGACAUCUAUAUGCCUCCAUUUUACAAAAUCAUACUAUAUGCCUCCAUGACACGCGGGAAAUCUAGCAUCAAGGUGGCAUGUCAUGCAAGAAAAUGGAGAUAUGCAGUGCGUAAGUGAGUCGUGCACUUCGAUGGCACCUAGUACUAUGCAAUAUUUUUUCUCCUCGAUGGCACGUGAAUAGUGCAUGUACUCAAUGACAGAGAACAGGAUGGUAGCCAUGGACAUGGUCGGCCCUUUUUGAAGAGAGUACUAAUAAAUACGUAACUUUGAUGUGUCCCGUCAACUCGUAGAACGACGAGAAGCUUGCUUACUACGCCUUCUCCCUCGCCAACGCGUGCGUGGUGGCUCGCAGCACGAGGAGAAACUUUUGCUUACAAGCGGUGGACGUGCAGCAGUUCAUUUGGUGUCAGACUGCCAGAAGUAGUACCAUCAUUAUUGUUCGACUUCCGAAAGAGGAGAAGAGCCAAGCGCAAGGUCACCUACUAACCUAGUACAGUACUACUAUAGCCAAAGCUGGUCCACCUUUUUAGAGCAUGGUUAAUUAAUAUAGGCGGCUCUUGCAGCGGCACAUCAUUUAGAGCAAGUACUCUCUUCGUAGGAUCAAAGGAAGUGAAACAAAAGUUGUAGUGGAUGCUAGAUUGCCAAUUAAAACAUGAUUACAUAGGAAAAAAAUCCUAUAGCAUUCUAUCCUAUGAAUCAAAUGACCAAUGUAGGAAAAUUAUGAGGGGGGUCUCUCCAACAGUGUUCCUCGGCUCGCACCUAGCAUAACGGUGGUCGAACUUGGAGUCAUUCAUCUGGUACACAUGGCAUCUCAGAUCUGGUACUCCUAUAUUAGGUUGGCUCAAUGUGAUGUGGCAACUUCAUAUACUGACCGGAUGCUGGCUAUACUACUACGGUACUCACACUCCAAGAAGUGACUCGAAAACCAUUCAUAAAUUGAGUCUAUGACACGCAUUUGCAAAUGUACCAUUCAUUACAUACAACAAGUCAUCAACACACAACGACAACGAUGAUACAUGUUGGAUUAUAGAUUAUUUCCAACAAAACAUUCUAGGAAAUACUAAAGUUUUCAUCACACAACAAAUAACAAGCAAUGGAAUGAAUUUCAACUCAACCAAUCCUUGGCAUUGGAAACGCUUGCUUUGAACCAUAGGUGCUCUGGGAAGGGCCAGCUAUUGUCAAUAUCGAGAGCAACGCAGGACUGAUCAUCCAGGCUGAAGCGGAAUAUAUCAGGAGCAGGGUAGGGAACCACCGCAAUCUCUGAGGUAUAGAUACAGUUGCUUCUCAUAAAUGGUAGUAACGUUGUGUCAACAGCAGCUGGAUCACCUUUAACCAUCAUUGGAUAGUUUGGUCCAAGGAAGAGCGAGUUUGCUCCAAGACUAUCAAUACUGUACCAGGGAGAAGGUGUUGGUGCUAGCACACCAGUAUCCAUCCCGAAUACCCUGCAACGGGUGUUGGAAUAGGUCUAGAGAGGGCGACCAUGGGAGACAACACGUGCUCCCUCAAUAGUAACAAUCUCAGUGCACUGUAUACAGACAAGAAGAGGUGAUCCAUCGGAAUUAGUUGCCAGCCGCCACUGAGUAUAUAAGUCCUGCUCGUCCUCAUGAUCACGAUCAUUACCAUCGUCAUCUCCCCCUUGGUUAUAAAUUUUUUGAAGUAUAGGUGGUGGAAUGUUCACAGGACCUUGGAAACACAAGAAGAAGGUUAAUUAGUAAAGGGAAACUUGCUAACCCGCAUGCAUGUGGAUGAAACAAUUAUAAUUAUGGUGGAAGACAAACGUACCGAAACAACGAGGAUCCCUAGCAAAAACAAUGCCACGCAUGGUGGAAGCAAAUACAAGAUCCUCGUAUUUAAGUGCAUCAUAGUACUCAUCAUCCGUGUACAGAAACUGAUUUUUGAGCAAUACCCAUGGACGAACCGUGGAAUCAGUAACGACGGCAACAAGCUUGUCGAAUAUAUCAACAACUUCAUAGUUCUCGUAAUUCCAAGAGCGGUUGGGAACUCGACAAAUUGCUAUCUUCCGUAGACGACAGCCACCAUGAUCGUAUUUGAACGUACGUAGAUCAUCUGUGUGCUCAACCUCAGGGCACUCUGAGAUUUUUGGAAGUGGAAUCCGCUGACGAGUGUACACAUUCACAAGUUCCCACUCGCAAUUGUACCCAGUAUAAACAACCCAAUCUCCAUUUGCGCCAGCCCAGGCCAUACCCUUAAGCGAUGGCAUCUUGACAUCACAUGUAUCAUUAUCAAGCGGCAUCAACUUGCACAAGGCGAGGCCUCCGUCAUCCGCGCCCAUGCGAACAGGCUUAUAGUGAAGAAGAUAAGGGAGAUCAAACCGCUCCUGGACCCUUGGGUUCCUUGUAAUGAUGUUAUUAGUUGAGUCAAGAAUGUUCUUGAACGAACCUGCCAUGCUAGCCGAGGUGAUGACGUCGCACCGAUCAAUGAGUUCCCCCACCACAUCAUCUUUCAGGUCAGGGCAAGAAUAACGGGGUCGUUUCCGGCUUGUUCCCUCCAUGGAGAAGACGAUCGAACAAUGGCAGAAGGAAGGGUGAAGGCAAAUGGAGGAGGGAGGAAGAGCAUGCGACAGCAGUUCCAAAUCGAGAGGGAAAGACGAAGAGUCGGUGAACGGUUGCCAGUUUGCCACGGUACACGUAGAGGCGCCCCAGCCUACACGUCCUUUCGGAAAUUGUACAAAAGGACUCGCCAUCGUCUCACUGACAUGUUGGAACGGGACCACAUGUCAACGAAACAUGGUGUGUAAUUUCUCGUGCAAAAUGCGAUCUGGCCGCGUUGGCCCGAAGUGCCAUAUUGUUUCUCGACUUUAUUUUUUAAUGGCGUGCCGUUCAGUUUUGAAGCACGACUAACUGGUACUAUUUGCAGAGAAAAUGUAAACUACGCUACCACUACUCCACCUCUAGUACUAGUAGUAUAAAAAAGAUAUAUAGGCUGGAGCUUCAGAGCUUUCUUGCUAAGGGCUGCCCACUUGCUUCUCACACUAUCACCCUCUCUCCAGAUCUAAAAAGACGGCCUCUCUCUCCCUCCUCACCGGUGGUCACAGAUCCGCCGGGGAAGAAAAGGACGUGCAGUGUUGACGCACUCGUCGUCGGCGAGUGAGGUCACGCACUGACGACAAGGCCGUCCUCUCAGACCUAGCGCCCGCGCGGGAUGGCCUCCGUCCCCAAGCUCGCUGCCGUGGUGCAUGCAGAGGACGACGACCACGAGCGAAGCCACUUCCCGCCGACCCUCAGGUAUGCUACCCCUUUUCGAACCAUACCCUUGUUCUAUUGCCCCAUCUGCCACGUCGCUGCAUGUGGAUCUUUUUCCACUCCACCAUCUUCCCAAUUUGCUAUCCUCUGCUCUGCUGGUCACGCAGAUGAAAACCUUAAUUUGCACUAUUAAAGGAAACCCUACUUCAUGCAGACUAAUCCAUGUCUGGGUUGAAUAAGGAAAGGAAGGGAGACUGUACUGUCCAAGAGAGUAGGCAUCGAACCCGCAUCUAGGUUGAAAAUGGGAAAAUCAGUAGCUAAGGAACGAGUCUCGUGUCUCUUGGUUGAAGAAGGGCAGAAAGGCAUGACAACGCAAUAGAGAAUGACCAGGUUGAUCAGUUUGUUGUCCUCACAUAGGAAAAAGGUGGCUAAACAUAACAAAAAUGGGACAUAAUCCACAUAUUCUGCCGGGAUAUUUGUUGCUGUAGGCAACCAUACCUCCCUCACCACUCUAUGCGUCCGUGGAGGUACAUCGUACUGGUGCGCCCACUAUCCGAAUGGGUCUCCCAUGCUCUUAUUGUCACUUUUUUGCUGUUAGUAUAAUGCCAUCAGUCAAGUCAAGAAAUGCUACUGCUAAAGUGAUGCCACAUUUAACUAAUGCCGCACUCAGUCUAAUGCCACCGAUAAAUUUAACUAAUGCCAUUUAAUGUCACUGGAUUAUUUCAGGGUUAGCUGUUGAUUGUGGAUGUAUUAAAGAUUUUUCAGCUAAGGCAUUCUAAUGUUGUUGCAUAGCCAGUAUACCAACGAUGAAACUUGUUACUACCUUCAAAUUUUUGCACUAUUAAUGCUUAUAGAUUACAUACCUCACUUUCAUGAGAUAAGUUAAUUUUUUUGUACAGUGUCACCAAAAUGCCAAGGCGUUGAUGUCAUUUUAUUUUGGUUAAACUGCACAAAAAAUUAUGAAGACAAGAGGGAAGGUCAAGAGUGGGCACCUCCUCCUCCGGCUGUUCUCUUGAUUUGUUCGAUCAAGUUUUUAUGUUUGAUCGAUUAUCAAGAUUGGGAUAGCAAUUUUUAAGGUCCCCCCGAAUUUGAAAUGAUAUUUACCUUGGAGGUACAUGGUUUGCAAUUUUUUAUACUUCCAUUAGUUAAUAAUGCUAGUUACCUUCAAACUUUUGUAUUUGGUUUAAUGCUCAUGCACAGCUAGUAUACAAAUGUUGAAACGUGUUACCUUUACAUUUUGUAUUGUUAAUUCUUAUAGAAAUCUUCCAGUGCCAGAGUUUAUUGAAAUAUGUUCAGUAAAACCAUUGUACUGUACCCUGUAAUAAAAUAACUACUCUAUUGUUGCACUAGCCACUGGAUUAGUGUAUAUUUUUAGUAUUUGAAAUUUCGAGUGGUGUUGCAUUAGCGUAUGGACAUAAAUAAAGUGUGGCAAGCUUUCCCAGAUAUGUGCUCAAGAAAACUACUACCUGUUUUUCUAAAUACUAGACGUUUGGGUACUUUAAACUGAACCGCGAAAACGUCUUAUAUUAAGGAACAGAGGGUGUAGAGUUCACUCAAAUUAUCCCGAUAAAGCUAGUCACACCUUUGUUAAAAUUAAUGUUCAUUAUGUUAUCGGAGGAGGUCUGUAAGUUUGUCUCUAAUGCCUGUCGACUACAUACCUGACAUCAUGAUGUAAUGUUAAGUCAUUUCCUUUUGUACAGUGUCACUGAAUUGUCAAGGCGGUGAUGGCAUUUUAUUUUAGUUGAACUGCACAAAAUAUGCUAUAAAAGAAGAGGAAAGUUCAGGAAUCGAUCAUUCUUUCAGAAAGAACUAUAUAUGCCUUUCUGACAUCAGCCGCUGUUGCCUUAUUUAUUCCUUCAAACAGGUGGUUAGAAACAGUCUUGCUACCUUUUCCCAUUAAGAAAUUGGAAUGCUUAUAUUUGUGAGUCUAUGCUUCAACUAGUGCCACUUUUAUAGUAAUCACACUUUCAAUAUCUAUGCAAAGAGGGAUGCUCGAUUUUAGUGGAACUGCACAAAAAGUCCAACUGGUUCAACAUUAGGAGCAUGUUUUCUUCCAAACCUUUAUAUCCAAUUGAUGGCACUAUGAGAUGUUCAUUAAGAAGGUACAUGGUUUGCUACUAUCUUGAUACUCUUUUUGUACUGUCAUUAGAUAGUAAUACUAGUGGUUUGCAUGUGAAUUUAUUGGCAGGGUGGACCUAUAUUGGAGGUGCAGGACAGGAUUCAAUGAUUGGAUGCUCAAUUUCGGUUGUAUCGAUUUCACCUCUUCCAUCACUGCGAACAUGGAUAUCCUUGGUCUGAUGAAGAAUAGGCGCUAUAUUUCUACUCUGAACAAGCAAAUCAAUUCAGUAUGAAAUUGUCCAGGGCAAAACAUGACUGUAUCAAAUUGUCCAGUGCAAAACAUGACAGAUGCUAAGCGGAAGAGACAUGUUUAAACCGAAAAUACAAGGUGGGGUAUAUGUUUACUAGUUGCUUGAUAUUUGUGCAUACAGAGAUGUCUACCUGUUGUUAUUUGGCAAACACACAAAGUGACCGCAAUUUUGGUUGAACUGCACAAGAGAAUAGUAUAGUCACUGCAUGCAGUGCCAUUUGAAAAUAGACACAGAAAGAUUGGAUAGUCACUUCAUGGACUGCAGAAAAGUAGUACUGUACUAUUUAUUGGCCAACACUAGGUGCUUCAUUGUUUUGGUCUAAUUAUACAAUGGGCAUCAUUUUGCCUAAUUUAAAGUUUGUAUUCCGAAAAUAGUCUUGUCGUGUGAUCAAGAGAAGACCAAAUCAUAUUGCAGUGGAUGUUCCUCCAUCAUGUGUGGUUCAUUCUCAUGGUUCCAGCUGUUGGUGAAACCACUUACGUUUGCAAGAGGAAUUGUAGACUUCACAAACAAAUUUGUCUUUCAGUCUGUACUGAAUGUUGGCCAAGAGAAGCAUCCAUGUUAGUAGGAAGAACAUAUGUUUUUUCUAGAUCUUUGCUUUUGGAGCUACAUAUUUGUAUAUGAUCUGUGAAUCAUUGAGAUGCAUUAAUAUGUUGAUCUUAUGUAUGGGAAUCGUACUAGUUGGUUUUAGUUGUGGCUGAUCUUUGCUUUGGAGCUACAUAUUUGUAUAUGAUCUGUGAAUCAUUGAGAUGCAUUAACAGUUCCUUAUAUCUGUUCGCUCAGUGUUUACAAGUUACUGAUCGAUCACUAGCUAGCCUACUAAUGCGCUCCUGGCAAUUUUAGUUGCGACGCAAGAUCCGAAGUGGCAGUUUUUUGAAUAAAAAUGCCUACCUCUGAAGAAACUGACAAGCUGCUCUGAAGAAAAUGCCAUGUGAAUCUGAAGAAACUGCCAGCAAAAAUGUUCGCAAAUGCCUUAUCUCCCAGCUAAAGUUCAUCAACUAGUGCCCUCGGCUGCGACUCGUUGCAUGCUGCUCUGCGUACUGGCUGCGAGCGAUUUUGAGUGCCUGCAUCCAGCCAGCCGUAAUUAAGGCAGCUAACUGACGCGAAAAAGAUGCGCUUUAAUUGUUGCAGGCCUUUUAAAUCCGUGGAAUCAUUAUUGACAAGGAGGGAGAUGAUUCGAGAGCACUCGUUUGACCGUCAUGCCGGCGUGCGACCCAGCACGGACGGGACGGGACGGCACAGUCAAAAUUUCAGUUUCUCUAGUUUUCCAUGGCAAGCUGGCGCGCUAAGCCAUGCCUGCUUAAUUAUGCAUUGAAUUCCAAUGACCGUCGCCCUACCUUCCGCCUAUAAGUAUUGUUUCCCGGCCUUCUAUGGUGGCAUCGCGACCCAACUCACCCUAUCCUCAUAAGCCCCCACCGGCCUGACGUCGCUUGCCACUUAUCCACGCUCUCGCCACGUCCGCCAUGCCCCCUCCCGUCCGCGAUAGGCGAGGACGGAGGUGGUCACCGCCGGAACUAGUGUUCGGUUUUUCACCGGAAGGCAGAAGGAGGGAGGAGGCAUUCUAUCGGUCUUUAGAUAGCAAUGCAGAGAUCGAGGACUUGUUAGAGCGCGACCGCCUGGCGGAGCAGGAGUUGUUGGAGUGCGAACGCUUGGCGGAGGAGCAGCGUAUCUCCGAUUUGCGCCGCGAGCGGGACAUGGAGCAGCAGCGCACCGACGCUCUGAGUCGUGAGUAGAGCGCCCGCAACUGGGCCGACUACGUGGAGGCCGGCGCCCGGCAAAUAGCCCUGGAGGCUGUUGGGCACACACGUGUUCACGACACUGAUUUUUACUACCAGCUCGUCAAGUGGGUUUCCCUCUUAGAAGCCGAAGCUUCGGUGGACCACACCGGCAUGGAAAGGGCCAACGCGCGCGAGCAAUGCGCCCUAUCGCACCUCUGGCAAGUCCGAGGCGAGGCGGAGGACGCCGGUGCCGGCGUUUAGCGUGUACCGCGGAUGGCGGCCGACAUCGUCUAGUUAGCUAAGAGUAAGUUAGUACUUGUACGCUACUAGAGUAUUAGUGGGAGUAGAUAGUUAACUUGGCUAUGAUGGUUGUCAACGUGGAAGUUCAGUACUCUAUAUGUGGAUCAGACAUGUUACUUUGCUCUGAAUGUUGAACUUUCCGUUUGAACGUAUGGAAUGGGAUGUUAUUUUUUAAAUGGGUUGUAUUUGUCCUCCACGGGUUUAGAGGCUGACUUGUGGGCCCACCAAGUUGACGCGUACACAAUCAGGAGAUGAUUGUACGUGGAGAGGAUGACAGUGGGGACCCGCCAAGGUCAUGGCAGUAUGCAAGCAAGUGCCUCCUUAUUUCAAGCCAAUAAAAAAUGGCUCCUCCUAAUGGAUUUCUGACAGCUGGAUCCCAUGUCAUUGUCAACGUAGUCAAUAAACGAGAGAACUGCACAACGAGCGGCUGACACGAGGGACCCAGCAGCUCGCCCAGUUAUUUUUGUUUUGGGUUAAUUUGAUAAAUGCCACUCCAAAUCUGGUGUUUCUGAGAAAUUCCACUGCAAUUUACAAACUUUGAAAAAUGCCAUUUCAUGCCAUUUCCAGUGACAUUUUUCGAAGUCUCGAGUGGCGUUUUUCAAAGUUUGCAAAUUGCAGUGGCGCUUUCCAAAGUUUGCAAAAAUUGCAGUGGCAUUUUUCAAAGUUUGGAAAUUGAAGUGGCAUUUUUAUGAAUCACCAUAAUUGGAGUGGCAUUUAUCUAAUUUGUUUUUGAGACGGAAGCAGGGUGUCAACUGAGCUGUGCGGGGCACUCUGGCCUGUCUAGACAGCCUUCUCUUUUAUGUUUACCACAGACCAGCCCAGUAGUUUUUUUUCUUUCUAAAAAUGGCUAGCCCAAUUUUUUUGUGAUUUGCCAAGUAAGUCGCUUUGUCAGGCCUGUUGGGCUGCAAAUCUUUCAAGACGAGGAGAGCUUCAUUCGGCUAGACAAGAAAAUGGCCUAUCAGUAAUGAGAAAUGGGUUGUAAAUUUUUAAAACACAUCAAACCGACAAUUAGUUUCAAAUUUCUUUUUUUCAUUUUGAGCUUUUAAAUUGCAUUAAUUUUUAUGCGUGGACAAUUUGUUGGAUUUUAUAUUGAUAUACAUUUAUUUUUAAAAUUAGUUUGAAUGUGAGUCAAAAUUUCGGGAUUAAAAACAGUUCGACCGCACCGAAAUAUGCAAAAUUUCGUAUAAUUUUUUAACCGUGGCCACAAUAUGGGCUGUAAUGCUAACAAAAAGAAUAUGGGCUCCAAAAAAACCUUAAGAAUUAGCAAAUGGCUGUAAAUUAUUAGAAAUAAUGGCAGAUGGGCUGUAUGCUGUUUUCCACAGAUUUGAGGCUUUCCUAAAAAAAUGUUGACGCACAAGCAGUGACUGUUGGAUGUCCAUCCAACGGCCAUCGUGCUUCUUCAAUCUCUGCUCUUCCUGCUCCAGCCGCUCAAACAAGCGCCGGCGGGACUGCCUGCUCCCUCCUCCCCGCGGUCGGCUGUGCUGCCGCGCAGGCCUCACCGUCCCACCGUACUCCCAUCGCUGGCCUAGCCAUCCCUCUACUCACCCACACCUGCUGUUAUUCUCCGGCGACGGCAGACGAACCAGUAAACCCUCGUACAGUCGUACUCCCCUCCGCAUGGGAAACAACUGCCGAGUCUUCCCUGCCUCCGUGUCGUUCCCUUCCUAGGCCUCGCCGACGUCCACCGCCCUGGUGCUCUCGGCGCGGCCUGGUCAACGUGGUCAACGGCCGACAUGCAUCUGAAGUGGACUGUACGUGGAGAGGCUGACAGCUGGGUCCACGGCCGCACGCAAGGAAGUGUGUCCUUAUUACCCACCAGCGAUAUCUUCGCACGCAAGGAAGUGUGUCCUUAUUACACACACAAAAAUGAAUACUCCCCCUGCUAGUUGGGACCCAGUACAGUGGCAGGCUAACUUGUGGGCCUGCUAAGUUGACGGGGACAGAGGGCUUUGUCAACUUAGUCAAUAUGCAUGAUUCUAGCUCCAGUGACUUUAUGAUGUCCAUCCAACUGCCGUAUGUAGUGCUUCUUCAACCUCUGGUCUUCUUGCUCCAGCCGCCCAAACCAGCGCCGGUCGUGCCUCGUGCUCCUGCCUCCCGUGGCCGGCUGCGAUGCGGCGGAGGCCUCACCGCCCCCUACUACUGCCACCGCUGGCCAGGCCAUCCCUCUACUCACCCACACCCCCUGUUAUUCUGUGGCGACGAAAGCCUCACACCGCAUCGAACCAGUGAACCCUCAUACUCCUCUACGUGUGGGCAUCCACUACCGCGUCUUCCCCGGCUCCGCAUCGUCCCCUUCCUAGGCCUCGUCGUCGUCCACCGCCCUGGUGCUCUCGGCGCGGCGUGGUCAACGUGGUCAAGGAACGACUUCCACUGGAAGAGUACUGUACGUGGAGAGGCUGACAGCUGGGUCCACGGCAGCCGCAAGGAAGUGCCUCCUUAUUGCGCGGAAAAUAAUUAUUCCUCCACCUGACAGCAGGGACCCACCGGACGGGCCACCGUAUUUGGUGCAAAAACGUUUCCCCCCUGACUGCUGGGACCCACCGGACGGGCAACCAUAUUUCGCGAAAAAGCGUUCCCCCCGCUGUCAGCUCGGACCCACCGGAAGUGCCGCCUUAUUACGCACAAAAAAUGAAUACUCCCCCUCCUAGUUGGGACCCACCUUGGUGGGUGGCUGACUUGUGGCACUACUAAGUUGACGGGGACGGAGUGCUUUGUCAACUUAGUCAAUAUGAACGAUUCUAGCUCCAGUGACCGUACGAUGUCCAUCCAACGGCCGUAGUGCUUCUUCAACCUCUGGUCUUCUUGCUCUAGCCGCCCAAAGCAGCGCCGGUCGUGCCGCAUGCUCCUGCCUCCCGUGGCCGGUUGUCCUGCCACGGAGGCCUCACCGCCCCUACUAUUCCCACCGCUGGCCAGGCCCUGCGGCGACGGCAGCCUCACACCGCAGCCGAACCAGUGAACCCUCGUACUCCUCUCCGCGCGGCCUUCAACUGCCGCGUCUUCCCCGGCUCCGCAUCGUCCCCUUCCUAGGCCUCGUCGUCGUCCACCGCCCUGGUGCUCUCGGCGCGGCAUGGUCAACAUGGUCAAGGAACGACUUCCAUCGGAAGAGUACUGUACGUGGAGAGGCUGACAGCUGGGUCCAUGGCCGCAGCAAGGAAGUGCCUCCUUAUUACGUGCAAAAUAAUUAUUCCUCCACCUGACAGCGGGGACCCACCGGACGGGCCACCAUAUUUCGCGAAAAAAACGUUUCCCCUGACUGCUGAGACCCACCAGCUACAUCUUCGCACGCAAGGAAGUGCGUCCGGGCAAAAAAUAACAAUUCGCCCCCUGACUGCUGGGACCCACCAGCUACAUCUUCGCACGCACGGAAGUGCCUGACAGUUGGGACCCACCUGGUCGAAGCGUACGUAGCGUUGUCAUUCUGGUCGCGAACGUGUACGUACAUACUGGUCGAUGUAGAGUCGCGCACGUGUCAUAGUAGAGGCGCACACAUAGCAUGUACACGUACGUACAGCGCCCAGGGUGCAACAAAGUAAAUACGGCCACGUACGUACAUACGGGCGGGGUCUCGAACGCCUACUCGCGCGUACGUACGGCCAGGGCUCGUGUACAUGGCUGGGUCGGAACGGAGAAACUGCGUCGUCGUCGUGUUCAUGGGGAGGCAACGGAAUGCGUCGUGUUCAUCGGGAGGCAACGGAACGCGUGGGAGCCAACCGGCUUGGACGGAACAGCCGAUGGAAACGAGGCAUGGCGUACUGCAGAACGGAGGAAACGGCCUUGUGUUCGACCGGCCACGUUCGAAAUAGGAUCCUGUUCAUCGAGAGGGGUCUGGCGUACCGCAAAACGGAGGAAACGGACCUCCUACGGUCGAAACGGGGGUCCUGUUGAUCGGGAGGGGUGUGGCGUACCGCAAAACGGAGGAAACGGACUUGUGUUGGAGCGCUAUGGUCGAAACGGGGGUCCUAUUCAUCGGGAGGGGUGUGGCGUACCGCAAAACGGGACUCCAUGGGAUACUGUUCAUCUCCACCGUCGACCCCCUCCAGCCUCCACGGGCUACUGUUCAUCCACCAUCGACCUCCUCCAGCCUCCACCUGUGACUGUUCAUCCACGGGCUCCUGUUCAUCCAGCCUCCACCGCGCGCUACUCCACCGGCUACUGUUCAACCAGCUCUCUCCACGGGCUCCUGUUCAACCACCCGUCCACGGGCUACUGUUCAUCCAGCCCUCCACCGUCUAUUGUUCAUCCAGCCCUCCACGGGGUGGUCCUGUUCAUCCUGCCCUCCACGGGGUCCUGUUCAUCCAGCCCCAACCGGCUCGAUCGAUCGGGGUCCUGUUCAUCCAGAGGCAACACCACGGGGUCCUGUUCAUCCACCCCCACUGGGAAUUGUUCAUCCAAACCCCCCAGCAACGCUCACUGUUCAUCCAGAGGCAGCAUCGAUCGGCUUCAGUUAGCAGCAGUAGCGAAGGAAUCGCUCGAUCGGGUUCAGUUUACAGCCAUCGAUCGAUCGCUCGGGUUCAGUAACACGUAGCCUGCAGUGCAAUCGCUCGGGUUCAGUUAGAGCCCAACGCCUCGCUCGGGUUCAGUUAGAGCCCAACGCCUCGCACCCACGCGUGUGCGUGUAUGAGAGAAACGCGCAUCGCUCGGCCCCGACCACCCACCGUAACCGGGAACACCCCGAUAUUUUCCUCGCCCUCGCUUCUACCACGGUUUUUCCCGUCAUGGACGGCCCAAAGAAUGUCAUGCAGCUACGUCUCCGGCCCGCCCAGGACGAAAAGCCCAUUUUCUGUCAUGAUUUUUUGUCAUAGAAGUAGGACCCCACCACAUCUAUGAUGAUACCGGGUUUUGUCACAAUUAUCGUCAUAGAAGUGUCAUAAGUAUGACAGAAAAAAAUUCUUUCGGCCCAAAAUGUCACGGAUGUGUCUUUUUUUGUAGUGAUAAUUCCAGCCCGUUUUAACUUCCGGCCCAUGUAUGGCCCAUGACGUCUUUCGGCCCAUAUGAGGCCCUUAGUAACUCUCGGCCCAUUAACGGCCCGUGGUAAAACUGGCCCGUAAUGAACAGUGUAUCACUUUAUACCCAUUAACGGCACAUGGUGAAACUAGCCCGUAAUGAACAGUGUAUCACUUUAUACCCAUUAACGGCCCAUUAUUCCGUUGGGCCAUUUCCAGCCCAUGUUAUCUUUCGGCCUUCUCAGGGCCCAUUUAUUCUUGGGCUCAUUUCCAAUAUUCGUUUACUUACGGCCCGUUACUGUCAUUUUCUGCUUGUGGGCCAAAUUCAGCCCGUGGUUACAGUCGGCCCGUUUGUGGCCCAUUAAUACGUUGGGCCGUUUUCAUAGCGUCAUCAAAUACGGCCGAUUAACGACGGCCCGUUAUGGUCGGCCCAUGAACGGACGAUUUCAACUCUAGCCCAUUUACGGCCAUAAUGUCGUAUGUUAUUGGCCCAUGUUUGGCCAAGCGAUCAUACGGCCCGGAGAAGGCCCAUUGUGUCUACGGCCCGUAUAAGGCCCAUUGUUUCUAUGCCUCGUAGAAGGCCCAUUGUUUGUACGGCCCGUAGGAGGCCCAUGUUAACUAUAGUAAAUUUGUAGCCCAUGGUUAUUGUGGCCUAGUUAUAAAAAAUAGGUUAUUGCGGCCACUAGCAAACCGCGGAAAAAGAACUCCACUGACUACAAGAAAACAAAUAAACAAGACAAUAAGGAAAUAAAUUAGCAAGCAACUUACGCUAGGCUAUCACGGCUAUUACACAUAUUACAUCCACUGGGCAUCAAAGUUCGCCACCAGUGCAAAUAUAGGGAACAAAGCAGCAUAUAAACGCCGCAGCAAAACAAGUCCAGAACUGAAAUCACUUCAGAAGAGCUCAAGAAACAAUAUUCUGGGUACCCAUAAUGCUGGCAAGAUGCUUAGCAAGCUUAUUAACUUUCUCUUGUUUGGCGCUUAAAUCCUCCAGCACUUGCUGUUGCACCAGAAAGUAUGCAUCUGAAUUCUGCAGGGACUUCCUCGAUCCUUCGGCUUCCUGUCGCAUAACAUCUGAUCGAUGUCUUUCAACUUGAAGUUGAGACUCAAGAAGCCGAACUGAUGCAGGCAGCGAGUUUGAAGAGCUGGUGCCAGCAGUAGUAGCCAGUAACUCGAACACUACAUCAAGACAGGACUUUGGGGUUGUCUCAGUGUCUUCAAUAUAGUUUUAUCAGCUUUCUUGGAGACCAACAGGGAUGUCUCACUAUCUUGAACCUUAUAUGCAUUACUUCCUUUACCAUUGCAUAACGGGGUACUCUUCUCCAAUAUUUUAUCCGCGUUCUAAAAGACAAACAAACAAACACAUCACAGGUUUACAAUGUAGUAUAUGAAACUCGUUUUGGUAAACCAGUUCAGUAGUAAGGUGGACAGGAUAACAGCAUGAAACAAACAUAUAUCUAUGUAGUAUGGUCACUGUAUGGUCUAUAUUCUUCUAGUUUAUGUUGCCAAAUCAAGAUAGAUACAGUUCGAAUCAUAUCUAUUUAAGACAAAGCAGCAUAGACAGAAUAUAAGUGUGGGAAACUACACAGCAAUAACAACACUUGUAAUGUGCAUGGCAUGAGAACAUAACUGUUUAUUCAAUUGAAACUGAAAUCAACAUAGAGCAAGUUACAACAGCAAACACGUUAAAGAAACAGGUUUAAAACAUACCUGUUGCGCCAUUGGAGUUUCAAUUGCAUCCUUCAAAUUUGAAAUUAGUUGGUAUGAGUAAAUACAGUGAUGCAAGAGCAAAGUAGUAUGAACCAUAGCUACAGAACCUGACCUGAGAACAAUUCUUCUUCUGCUUUAAGCGUUGACUUGGGGUUCAGAGUGGUGGUCCUCGUGCUUUGGGCACUGCAGUUGCCUUACUAACUGCUCGUGUUUGGGUGCUCUGUGGUGGAGACGGUGCUGUGUCAACGGGAACUGGAUUACUAUCUGCUGGGGUUGGGGUUAGAAGGGGUGUAGCUGGUUCGCUGUCCAACUGGGUAGGGGUACAAUCUGCGUGAGUCUGGGUUAUGUGUGGUGGGGCUGGUUCUUGGGCAAGUACAACCGUGGUUCUAUCUCCAUCGACAGGUAGCACGAUCUUUUCUGAAGACCGUGUUUUUACUCCCACAGAUACUGCCAUCACCCCCUCCAAUUGAAAUGGCUGAUAAACAAGAAAAGUAAUUGGAUGUACACACAUUGUAAGAUAGACAGGUGCAAUGGAUAGUAGGGAAGAAAACAAGGCAUGAAAUAAUUCACAUUUAUGUGGUCAAACAAAACAGAAUAGCAGGACACAAUUUCACAUAUAUGAUGGCUAAUUAAACAGGAUAGCAUGACACAAUUUCACAUGUAUGAUGGUGAUACGUCCAUUUUGCAUCAUGCUUUUAUAUCGAUAUUUAUUGCAUUAUGGGCUGUUAUUACAAGUUAUAUCACAAUACUUAUGCCUAUUCUCUCUUAUUUUACAAGGUUUACAUGAAGAGGGGGAAUGCCGGCAGCUGGAAUUCUGGGCUGGAAAAGGAGCAAAUAUUAGAGACCUAUUCUGCACAACUCCAAAAGUCCUGAAACUCCACGGAAGUUAUUUUGGGAAUUAAUAAAAAAUACUGAGCGAAGAAAGUACUAGAGGGGGCCCACACCCUGGCCACGAGGGUGGGGGCGCUCCCCCUGCCUCGUGGGCCCCCUGGCAGGCCUCCGGUGCCCAUCUUCUGCUAUAUGAGGUCUUUUACCCUGGAAAAAAUCAUAAGCAAGCUUUCGGGAAGAAACUCCGCCGCCACGAGGCGGAACCUUGGCGGAACCAAUCUAGGGCUCCGGCAGAGCUGUUCUGCCGGCGAAACUUCCCUCCAGGAGGGGGAAAUCAUCACCAUCGUCAUCACCAAUGAUCCUCUCAUCAAGAGGGGGUCAAUCUCCAUCAACAUCUUCACCAGCACCAUCUCCUCCAAAACCCUAGUUCAUCUCUUGUAUAUAAUCUUUGUCCCAAAGCCUCAGAUUGGUACCUGUGGGUUGCUAGUAGUGUUGAUUACUCCUUGUAGUUGAUGCUAGUUGGUUUAUUUUGUGGAAGAUCAUAUGUUCAGAUCCAUUAUGCAUAUUAAUACCCCUCUGAUUAUGAACAUGAAUAUGAUUUGUGAGUAGUUACGUUUGUUCCCGAGGACAUGGGAGAAAUCUUGCUAUAAGUAGUCAUGUGAAUUUCGCAUUCGUUCGAUAUUCUGAUGAGAUGUAUGUUGUCUUUCCUCUAGUGGUGUUAUGUGAAUGUCAACUACAUGACACUUCACCAUUGUUUGGGCCUAGAGGAUGGCAUUGGGAAGUAAUAAGUAGAUGAUGGGUUGCUAGAGUGACAGAAGCUUAAACCCUAGUUUAUGCGUUGCUUCGUAAGGGGAUGAUUUGGAUCCAUAUGUUUCAUGCUGUGGCUAGGUUUACCUUAAUACUUAUUUUGUAGUUGCGGAUGCUUACAGAAGGGGUCAUAAGUGGGAUGCUUGUCCAAGUAAGGACAGCACCCGAGCACCGGUCCACCCACAUACCAAAUUAUCAAAGUAACGAACGUGAAUCAUAUGAGUGUGAUGAAAACUAGCUUGAUGAUAAUUCCCAUGUGUCCUCGGGAGCGUUUUCCUUCAUAUAAGAUAUUGUCCAGGCUUGUCCUUUGCUACAAAAAGGAUUGGGCCAUCUUGCUGCACCUUAUUUACUUUCAUUACGUGUUACCCGUUACAAAUUACCUUAUCACAAAACUAUCUGUUACUAAUAAUUCCAGUGCUUGCAGAGAAUACCUUGUUGAAAACCGCUUAUCAUUUCCUUCUGCUCCUCGUUGGGUUCGACACUCUUACUUAUCGAAAGGACUAGAUAGAUCCCCUAAACUUGUGGGUCAUCAGAUGGCUAACUAAACAGGAUAGAAUGACAUACUUCAAAAUAUGAUGACUAUGUAAACAGGAUGACAUGAUAUAACUAUACGAUGUGUCUAUUAAAGUGGUUGGCAUGCCAUAAAUCACAAACAUGCCGUCGAUGGAGACAUGAUGGCACGAUAUAAUUCACGGAUAGAAUGACAUAAUUAAAAAUAUGAUAACUAUGUAAACAGGAUUAGAUGAUAUAACUAUAUUAUGUCUUUAGAAAAUAGGUUGGCAUGCCAUAAUUCAGAUACAUGCUGUCUAUGUAAACAUCAUGGCAUGAUAUAAUUCAAAUAUAUGAUUUAUAUACUAAGGAAGUGAGCGGAGGGCAAUCGCAUAUAUGAUGUGUUAACUAAGGAGAUGGCAUUCAAUAUCGUGUAUAUGAUGUAAAAAACUAAGCAUUGCAAUACAACAUAUGCAUGAUAUGAGUAAUAUAACCCUGCCAAGUUUGAGCAUACACCUCAGGGGGAUAAUAGGACUGGUCAUCUGCCUCUGAAUCCUCCUCUGAAGAGCUAUCUGUAACCAGCAAGAUAUCUGCUUCAGCAGGUAGCAUUGUUUGCUCUGAAGACCUUGUUUUCACUCCAGAUUUCUCCAUCACCAAUUCAAAUGGUUGAUGCAUAGGAAGAGCAGUUGAAUAUAUAAACAUUGUCGACAAAAGCAAUGAGAAAUACAAAAAAAGGACGGCAUUAAUAAUUCACAUAUAUGACGCUUGGCUAAACAGCAUGGCAUUACAUAAUUCACAUAUAGAAUGCCUUGCAACAAGAUAGCAUUGCAUAAUUCACAUAUAUAAUGUCUUGCAACAAGAUGGCAUUGCAUAAUUCACAUAUAUGGUAAUUAGACACUAAACAGGUGGCAUUCACACAAAGCAUGUCUAAACUAAGCAAAUGACAUAGCAAUGCAAGAUACCAUACACACGAUAUGAGCAACAUAACUCUGCCAAGUUAGAGCAUGCACCUCGGGGGGGAUAGGACUGGUCAUCUGUCUCUGAAUCCUCCUCUGAGGAGCUAUCUGUAACCAGCAAGACAUGUGGUUCGUCAGAUAGCAUUAUCUGCUGUGAAGACCCUGUUUCCACUCCAGAUUUUUCCAUGACCGUGUUGAAUGGCUGAUGCAUAGGAAGAGUAAUUGAAUGUACUAAAAUUGUUGACAAAUUUAACACGUAAUAAAAAAAUGAUGUCAUGAUAUAAUUCACAUAUAAGAUGACUGGCUAACCAUGGUGGCAUUGCAAAAUUCACAUAUAUGAUGCCUGGGUAAACAAGAUGGCACUGCAUGAUUCACAUAUACGAUAAAGAAACUAAACAGAUGGCAUUGACACAAAGCAUGUCUAAACUAACCAGAUGACAUCUUUGAUGUAUACGUAAGCAAUGCAAGGCACCAUAUGCAUGAUAUUACCAACAUCAGCAUGCCAAGUUAGAGCGAAGACCUCAUGGGGUAAAUACGAGUGGUCUUCUGCUUCUGAAUCCCCCUCAGAACAGUUAUCUUCCUCUUGAUUACAAUCCGAAAUGGGUGGAGGGGGGCUGCCUUUGCGCCCACCAUGGAGCGGCAUCUGCAUGGAAUUUUAUUGCCAUGUAAGGCUCGUCUCUUUUGCUCUACAUGUUCAGUUCCAUUGUGUACAAUAACGGACAUGCAUAGGAAUAAAACAUAGUGAGAUUAUGUGAGGAAUGCAUGCACAAAUCCAGAGUGAUGGUAGCAAACUGUGGAUAGACCCAAAACCAAUGAUAGCAGGUAGAUAAUAGCUUUAGUUAAAAAAUUACAGAUAAUGGCUCCUUUAAUGUUUAUUUGCACCCAACAUGAAACUCAUAGUAGACACCAGAGAUUAACCAGAUAGUAGACAGAUAGUACUGAUUGCUGCCCCAAUAUGUACCCCACAACCAUUUAAAAACUCAAGUUUCAGCAUAAGUUUGGACCUGACUUUGAGUCUAAUAGGUGAACACGACGAUAAAGUAGCAUGUCAUCAUAUUAAGCGAUGCAUAACGUAAGCAGACACGGAAGAGUGCGACCUCUCUUGCGGACCCGUGUAGUCCUCAAGGUCAUCUGCUCAGUUGAUGAUGGUAAUGCAGUUGUCGUGGCUGUCGGCUGCGGGGAAGAAGAUCUGAGGCGGCGAAAGACAGUCUGGAGAGCGGAUCCCUACUGUGGUGAACCCUUCCAUCGUUGGAGCAGCUGAGCUGGGGUGGAACACAGCACCGCAGGAGCAGGACAAACCACACAAGGUUUUCUUUGACACAAUCUGCAACAGAAGUAAUUGUGUAAGGGUUUGUUUGAAUUUGAGGAUUCUAACAAUGCAUGGAUAGCAAAUAGACAGGAAUAGGAUAGGAAUGCAUGUGCAAAACAGAGAAUUUAAAAACAUAGGAUUUCCGCCAAUCUGGGUGUUUGGUUCACAAGAAUUGGAAGAACACAGGAUGCAAAGAAGCAUGUUGAGAUUAAGCCAAACCACAAGAAAAUGUACGGUUAUAAUUCUAUUAUGCUACUAUCUCUUAGUCGUGUGCUUCAUGAAUAGGAAUUUGAAAAGGAGGACAAGUGGAAAUUAAAAUUCCUAUGGUUUUUCUUUCAAGGAGACACUAAAGGAACAAAUCCUAUAGUUUUCCUUUGCUCCAUUCCUUUGCACCAAAUUCAUGAAAAGUAGUACCAUAGGAAACUUUCCAAUUCCUAUGUUUUUCAUUCACUUUUCCUUUCAAGCACUAGCGAUUCUAGUAGACAGGCUUGAGCAAGGAAAAGCCUACACUAAAAAAAUGUUUUUGUGCUACUUCUAUUACUAAAUUUCGUAGACAACCCCUUGAUGAGGAAUUGCCUAGUAAGGAUGAAAUUAUUGGUCUUGCUUCUAUUGUCGUGCCUCCUAAUGAUCCUUUAGAACAAUAUUUGCUUGACCAUGAAAAUGAUAUGUUCAUGAAUGAAAGAAGGGAAAUAGAUGAAGUAUUCUUUAAACAGGGACCUAUUCUGAAACACAACUUGCCUGUUGAAAUCCUAGGGGAUCCUCCUCCACCCAAGGGUGAUCCCGUGUUUGAGCUUAAACCAUUACCUGAUACUCUUAAAUAUGCUUAUCUUGAUGAAAAUAAGAUAUAUCAUGUUAUUAUUAGUGCUAACCUUUCAGAGAAGGAGGAAGAGAAAUUAUUGAAAACUCUGAAGAAGCACCGUGCUGCUAUUGGAUAUACUCUUGAUGAUCUUCAGGGCAUUAGUCCCACUCUAUGUCAACACAAAAUAAAUUUGGAGAAAGACGCCAAACCAGUUAUUGAUCACCUACGACGGCUAAAUCCUAAGAUGAAAGAAGUGGUAAGAAAGGAAAGAUUAAAGCUCCUUGAGGCAGGUAUAAUUUAUCCCGUUGUUGAUAGUCAGUGGGUAAGUCAUGUCCAUUGUGUCCCUAAGAAGGGAGGUAUUACUGUCGUUCCUAAUGAUAAAGAUGAAUUGAUCCCGCAAAGAAUUAUUACAGGUUAUAGGAUGGUAAUUGAUUUCUGCAAAUUAAAUAAAGCUACUAAAAAAGAUCAUUACCCUUUGCCUUUUAUUGAUCAAAUGCUAGAAAGAUUAUCCAAACAUACACAUUUUUGCUUUCUAGAUGGUUACUCUGGUUUCUCUCAAAUACCCGUGUCAGCUGAGGAUCAAGAAAAUACCACUUUUACUUGCCCUUUCGGUACUUUUGCUUAUAGACGUAUGCCUUUUGGUUUAUGUAAUGCACCUGCUACCUUUCAAAGAUGCAUGAUGGCUAUAUUCUUUGACUUUUGUGAAAAGAUUUGUGAGGUUUUCAUGGAUGAUUUCUCCAUUUAUGGAUCCUCUUUUGAUGAUUGCUUGAGCAACCUUGAUCGAGUUUUGCAGAGAUGUGAAGAAACUAACCUUGUCUGAAUUGGGAGAAGUGCCACUUUAUGGUUAAUGAAGGUAUUGUCUUGGGGCAUAAAAUUUCUGAAAGAGGUAUUGAAGUUGACAAAGCUAAAGUUGAUGCUAUUGAAAAGAUGCCGUGUCCCAAGGACAUUAAAGGUAUAAGAAGUUUCCUUCGUCAUGCCGGUUUUUAUAGGAGGUUCAUUAAGGACUUCUCAAAAAUUUCUCGGCCUCUGACUAAUCUCUUACAAAAAGAUAUUCCUUUUUUCUUUGAUGAUGAUUGUGUAGAAGCAUUUGAAAUACUUAAGAAAGCUUUGAUUUCUGCACCUAUUGUUCAGUCACCUGAUUGGAAUUUACCCUUUGAAAUUAUGUGUGAUGCUAGUGAUUAUGCUGUAGGUGCUCUUCCAGGACAAAGAGUUGAUAAGAAAUUAAAUGUUAUAAAAUAUGCCAGUAAAACUCUAGACAAUGCUCAGAGAAAUUAUGCUACUACUGAAAAAGAAUUUUUAGCAGUCGUGUUUGCUUGUGAUAAGUUCAGACCUUAUAUUGUAGACUCUAAAGUAACUGUUCACACCGAUCAUGCUGCUAUUAAAUACCUUAUGGAAAAGAAAGAUGCUAAACCUAGACUUAUUAGAUGGGUUGUCUUUCUACAAGAAUUUGAUUUGUGUAUUAUUGAUAGAAAGGGAGCUGAGAACCCCGUCGCAGACAACUUGUCUAGGUUAGAGAAUGUUCUCGAUGACCCACUACCUAUUGAUGAUAGCUUUCCUGAAGAACAAUUGGUUGUCAUAAAUGCUUCUCAUGCUGCUCCAUGGUAUGUUGAUUAUGCUAAUUAUAUUGUUGCUAAGUUCAUACCACCUAGUUUCACAUACCAGCAAAAGAAAAGGUUUUUCUAUGAUUUAAGACAUUACUUUUGGGAUGACCCACAUCUUUAUAAAGAAGGAGUAGAUGGUGUUAUUAGACGUUGUAUACCUGAGCAUGAACAGGAACAGAUCCUACGCAAGUGUCACUCCGAAGCGUAUGGAGGACACCACGCUGGAGAUAGAACUGCACAUAAGGUAUUGCAAUCCGGUUUUUAUUGGCCUACUCUCUUCAAGGAUGCCCGUAAGUUUGUCUUAUCUUGUGAUGAAUGUCAAAGAAUUGGUAAUAUUAGUAGACGUCAAGAAAUGCCUAUGAACUAUUCACUUGUUAUUGAACCAUUUGAUGUUUGGGGCUUUGAUUAUAUGGGACUGUUUCCUUCCUCUAAUGGGUAUACACAUAUUUUAGUUGCUGUUGAUUACGUUACUAGGUGGGUAGAAGCUAUUCCAACUAGUAGUGCUGAUCAUAACACCUCUGUUAAGAUGCUUAAAGAAGUUAUUUUUCCGAGGUUUGGAGUCCCUAGAUAUUUAAUGACUGAUGGUGGUUCACAUUUUAUUCAUGGUGCUUUUCAUAAAAUGCUUGCUAAAUAUGAUGUUAAUCGUAGAAUUGCAUCUCCAUAUCAUCCGCAGUCUAGUGGUCAAGUAGAAUUGAGUAAUAGAGAGCUCAAAUUAAUUUUGCAAAAGACUGUUAAUAGAUCUAGAAAGAAUUGCUCCAAGAAACUUGAUGAUGCAUUAUGGGCCUAUAGAACUGCGUAUAAAAAUCCUAUGGGUAUGUCUCCGUACAAAAUGGUUUAUGGAAAAGCAUGUCACUUACCUCUCGAACUAGAACAUAAGGCAUAUUGGGCUAUUAAAGAGCUCAUUUAUGAUUUCAAACUUGCCGGUGAGAAGAGGCUAUUUGACAUUAGCUCACUUGAUGAAUGGAGAACCCAAGCCUAUGAGAAUGCCAAACUAUUUAAAGAAAAAGUUAAAAGAUGGCAUGACAAAAGGAUACAAAAGCGUGAGUUUAAUGUAGGUGAUUAUGUGUUACUAUUCAACUCUCGUUUAAGAUCUUUUGCAGGAAAACUUCUCUCUUAAUGGGAAGGGCCUUACGUUAUCGAGGAGGUCUAUCGUUCCGGUGCCAUAAAAAUCAACAACUUCGAAGGCACAAAUCCGAAGGUGGUGAACGGUCAAAGAAUCAAACAUUAUAUCUCAGGUAAUCCUAUAAAUGUUGAAACUAAUGUUAUUGAAACCGUAACCCCGGAGGAAUACAUAAGGGACACUUUCCAGAACGUUUCAGACUCUGAAAAGGAAUAGGUAUGUGGUACGGUAAGUAAACCGACUCCAAAACAGUUCUAAUGGCAAUUUUUCUCCGUUUUGGAAUAUUUAAGAAAAUAGGAAAAUAAGAAGUAGUCCGGGAAGGACACGAGGCUUACACGAGGGUGGAGGGCGCGCCCUACCCCCCCUGGGCGCGCUCCCCUGCCUCGUGGGCACCUCGUGUGCUCUCCAGACUCCGUUUUCUUGCACGAUACUUCUUUUGGUCGGUAAAAAUUCAUUAUAUAAUCUCCCAAAGGUUUUGACCACCGUACCAUGCAAAUAUCCUCUGUUUUUGUUUCGAGCUGUUUCUGUAGCAGAUCUAGAGCAAGAUGUCAUCUCAGGAUUCCAACAGAGAGAGCUAUGUCUCACACCUCAUUGCUGACCCAAAGACCUAUGGGGAUCUGUCUCCUUGUGGUCGAACUACGGAUGAGGAGGAGGAUGCUCAUUUCAUGAGGAUCAAUGAUUCAAGCUCAGAGGAGGAGGAUGUCCCUCUACCUCAACCUGGGGAUAUGCACGUGAAGUUCAAGAAGUCUAGUCUCCCUAAGAGGGCUAAACUGUCUAACAACCGAUCUAUUCCUUCUCUUUUUCAGCAGAAAAGCAAAGGAGAUUUAUGUGACAAGAUCUUGAAGCUGGAAUCGGAGGUCGAUGAUUUAAAGGAGGAAAUUGCUCUUCUCAAUUACAAUAUGAAGAAGCUGAAAACACAAUUUUCAUCAUCAACAACUCCAUCAUCACCACCCCCGAGGAAAGAGACAUAAUCACAUGGGUAUGGGCACUCGCCUUGGCAACUGCCAAGCUUGGGGGAGGUGCCCCGGUAUCGUAUCAUCAUCACACUCCUAUCUUUACCGUUUUUCUUAGUUCGAUCCUUUUGGUAAUAUCUUGAUCUAGUAGAAUAAAGUUUUAGUAUGAUUUAGUUUUGAGUUUUGCCUUAUGAUCCUCCUAUGUAAUCGAGUCCGUGAGCUAUAUAUAAUAAAGAUUAGUGUUGAGUCAAGGGCUUGAUUACUUUGCUUUGAUCUUGAGGGAAUAAAAGAAAAGGAAAAAAUAAAAAGAAAUAAAGAGAUCAUAUUGAUCUUAUGGAGAGUAAUGACUUCACAUAUAAAGAGUAUGAUGAAUAAAACUUAUUGAGGGUUGACAGACAUAGUUUUGGUCAUCAUUGCAAUUAAUAGGAAGUAAUAAAGAAAGAGAGGUUUUCACAUAUAAAUACACUAUCCUGGACAUCUUUUAUGAUUGUGAGCACUCAUUAAAAUAUGACAUGCUAAAGAGUUGAUGUUGGACAAGGAAGACAACGUAAUGGGUUAUGUUUUCUUAUAUCUGAAAUAAAGUAUAUUGUCAUGGAUCAUCCAACAUGUUGAGCUUGCCUUUCCCUCUCAUGCUAGCCAAAUUCUUUGCACCAAGUAGAGAUACUACUUGUGCUUCCGAAUACCCUUAAAACCAGUUUUGCCAUGAGUGUCCACCAUAUCUACCUAUGGAUUGAGUAAGAUCCUUCAAGUAAUUUGUCAUCGUUGCAUGCAAUAAAAAAUUGCUCUCUAAAUAUGUAUGAUUUAUUAGUGUGGAGAAAAUAAGCUUUAUACGAUCUUGUGAUGUGGAAGAAAUAAAAGCGACGGACUGCAUAAUAAAGGUCCAUAUCACAAGUGGCAAUAUAAAGUGACGUUCUUUUGCAUUAAGAUUUCACGCAUCCAACCAUAAAAGCACAUGACAACCUCUGCUUCCCUCUGCGAAGGGCCUAUCUUUUACUUUUAUCCUCUACCUUAUGUAAGACUCAUGGUGAUCUUCACCUUUCCUUUUUACAUUUUAUCCUUUGGCAAGCACAUUGUGUUGGAAAGAUCCUAAUAUAUAUAUCCAAUUGGAUGUGAGUUAGCAUGAAUUAUUAUUGUUGACAUUACCCUUGAGGUAAAAGGUUGGGAGGCAACACUAUAAGCCCCUAUCUUUCUCUGUGUCCGAUUAAAACUCCAUAACCACAAGUAUUGCGUGAGUGUUAGCAAUUGUGAAAGACUAAAUGAUAGUUGAGUAUGUGGACUUGCUGAAAAGCUCUUAUAUUGACUCUUUCCUAUGUUAUGAUAAAUUGCAAUUGCUUCAAUGACCGAGAUCAUAGUUUGUUAGUUCUCAAUGAAGUUUCUGAUUCAUACCUUACAUUGUGAAUAGAUUAUUACUUGAGCAUAAGAAAUCAUAUGACAAUAUCAAUAUAUAUUGCUGUUAUAGGAAUGAUCAUGAUGCCCUCAUGUCCGUGUUUUAUUUUAUCGACACCUCUAUCUCUAAACAUGUGGACAUAUUUAUCUAUAUAUGUUGCUGUUAUAAGAAUGAUCGUGAUGCCCUCAUUCAUGACUCACCUCGAGUGUGCAUGUAUAAAGAGAAAGAAGCCGAGCGUGACGUGGCAAAAGCCCGCUCCGCAUUCUAUCAGCAAUAGGCUCGACGGUACCAAAGCAGAGAAGUACGGGCCAAAACUUAUAACGUUGGUGAACUCGUUCUAUGCCUACCGGAGAAGAAAAAGAACAAGCUCAAGCCCAAAUGGGAAGGUCCCUUUGUUAUUGACAAAGUUCUGACCGGUGGAGCAUACCGUCUGCGGGAUGCGUCGGACAAUCGACUCGAGCCAAACCCAUGGAACGCAGCCAGACUCCGAAGGUUCUACACCUAGUGCCGGACUCUGUGUUCGUCUCCUUACCUCCGUCAAUUUUUUAUAUAUACGCUAUCUUUCUUUUCUUUCUUUCUUUCUUCCCUUUUUCUUCACAGCCUUAACAGGUUGAAAUGUGUCUUGACUACACAAUCUUGACGCGCUAGGCGUGCUCAUUAUACCUGGGGGCUUCUUAUACAGAAGCUUAAUAUAACUAUGUUCCGGGCUCUAUGCCCCCCGCACAUGUGUUACUUUUCCACAUGUACCUUUUCUUCGCCAUUAUAUGCAUCGAUAUGACUUAAGUUUUGGCCAAGCUGGGUUGCCUGGCUCUUGUGUUUAUGCCCUACGUUCCCGUUAAUUCGGCUAGGGCAUAAGGGGAGCACCUCUGCGAUUGUUACUGUCGGGUCAGCUGGAUGUGUACCUCAGACUGGGUGAAGCCGAAAGCUAGCGUUCUUAAGGGAAUAUUCGGUCGGUGAACAAAAGAUGACUUUUAUUUAUUGUAAUACAUGCCCCCAGAUGUUUAUAUCCUGCGUCUCUUUUCGCAGUUCGGACAUGCACAUUAAUGCAUGCGUACCCAGGGAAAGGAACCCUUAAUGGAACUAUUCUCCCUGGAAGAUGUUUCUUACUAUCCAUGUAAUAUAACAUAGCUAGUUGGGUACUUGUCGGUUCAAGCACUAUUGACCCCUACGCCUGGUUUCCACGCGUACCCCGGUUUUUACAUAACUGAGCGGGUAUUCGGAUACACUCCGGACUGUCGGGUCCGGGGGUCGAAGCUAAAAGGUCCGCCAUGACAAAUGAUUUACAAUCCGGCUAGGGAUAAUAUAUGUCACUUGAAGUACACAGUCAUUUAGAGUGACUAAAUUCUUCUUCUAUACCAUCCAACAGGCUGUCUAGCCUACAAUCCUAUUGCGAAUACUUUGUGGGAAAUUUCACCUGGUCAUACACCAAACUGGCAGGGAUCUCUUUCCCGUCAGACCCCACAGGUCCGACUUCGGCCAUAUGGUUCGGGUCAGCCUUGGUAUAUCGAGUCUUCACCAUGGCCCAGGCUUCCCUUGCACCUUGUCGGCAGGCAGAUAUCUUCCAUAAUCGGAAGCGCCGCCGCGCUCCCCUGAGCAUCUCUACGAGCUCCCCCCAUGCCUCCUGGCAGGGAGGCGGAUGGCCACAAGGCCUGGGCAACACCAUGCAUCACCUGCCGAACUUGUUCGUGCAGUUGUGAGAGCUCUGGCAGAAGAUCACCCGCAGACCCGGGCAUCUCCUCUGCGGGACGACCCGUCAGCAUACCUACAGAUGUAACUCUGUUAGCCGGUUUCUUCGCCGAACUCUAUAAAAGUUCGUUCAAGCACUUACUAAAAAUGCCGCGUCGAAGCCUCUUAUUCUCCUUUACGGAGUCAGCAAGUUGGGCCCGAACAUCUUUCAGUUCAACGCCCAACCAGGUAUUGGCAUCUUGGAGAUCGUUUUUCUCCCGCCUAACCUGCAUAAGCACGCGCUCGCCAGCCUUUAGCUAUCGUUGAGCAUGUUGCUCAUCCCCUCGCAUGACCUCCGGAUUCACUCCGGGAUCAUCUGCAGAAUCUAUUGUUAGAUUUGCAUUCAUGCUGAAUACUACCUGGUACAUGUCAUUCUUUUCGAUAGAAACAAGUGUUACCAGAUGGGGCCUUCUCGAACUCCUUCAUUGCGGCAACUGCGGCCCGUAGCUGGGCUUUACACUCCUCCAGAUCUUGAGACAACCGGGUAUCCUUCUCCGUAAGAACCUACGCAAACAAUGAUCCUUAAAUUAGUUGUGCCAACUGUUUCAAGUCUCAAGGGCGACUGAUAUACAUAAUUAUUAGAUUUUCUUACCCGUAUAUCCUUUACAUACUGGUCCGUGGCUCUGGCAAGACCAUUUUGAGCAGCUCGGAUGUACGUGUCUCCUGAGUUGAAGGCAUCGAACGCCUCUUGAGAGAAACAAGCGUCACGGAGUACGGCCCGAUGACGCCUGUGAUUCAUGGCACUCUCCACUUCGGAAUUCGUAGCGGACAGCCUAUCCGCAUCCUCUGUAGGAGGAACAUCUGGUGUUGGCCCCACGUUAGCGUCUACCUCUAAGUCCGGCGCUGGAGCCCGGCUGGUGGAGGCGUGGCCGGCAGGCUCUCCGGAUAUGGUCCGGUGAGCGUUUUUCCUGCCAGGAACCAUGGACGUUAUUAUAUUUUAAAAGAUGACAACCACGGAGCGGGGUUCUUUUUCAUACCUCUGUGACGGCGUCUCAGUCCUGACCACCUUCCUUUUAAGCCUACCCGGUUUUGGUGCCCCUUGUUGGUGAGUCACUGCGGGUUCGGCAUGGCAUCCCGAGGACCAUCCCUGUAAGACACCAUAUGUGUGCAGUAGGUGAAGUGCGAAAAAGGGAUCCUUCUCGGAAGUUGGGACUCCGGUUUUACUUACAUGCGAUGCAGGGAGCAGUCCAGGAUAAUCGGCUAUGAUGGCCACCAAGGCACCGUCGCGGCUUAAUUGAUAGAACGUCCUGUCGAUAAGCUCCACAAAUGUGUCCGGAUCUUCUUCGAGUCCGGGGUCGAGGGCCCGGUCAGGGUCCUCUGGUUGUGGAGAUGGGCUGUGGACCUCCCUCACAGCUUUUCGCAGUUCCUGCUAUGAAAUAGCAAGGUAAAUACUUAUGACGAAGAAUGUGGGAAGGAUCGGAGUAAAAAGUAGCAGCUCACCCAGUUUGGGGGGUUGUACAUGGAGAAUCCAUCUCGUGGCUUAAUGCGGAUGAACUCCUCUUCCUCUCCUUUAUAUAAAUCGGACAGUAUUUUCGCUAGAGCAGCGAUGGAGUCGUGUCCCUUACGACCGCAGCGGGUGGCAUCGUCUUCUCCAUCGAAGUGCCACAUAGGUUGUCCCCGAUAUUGAAGUGGCUGCACCCCCUGCAUUAUACAUAUUGACAUAACCUCGAUUAUAGUCAAUCCUGAUUUGGCCAGCGUUUUAUCCGGCCCAUUGGGUAAAGGACCUCUCCGUUAUCUUCCUCCUGGGGGCUCCGAGGGCGCCAGCUGCGGCAUUUCUUCAAAGGGGCGUUAUUGAACUCAGGAAGGCCCAUCCGAAUAGGGUCCGAAAGGGGGACGUCUUCCAUAUAAAACCACUCCGAAGGCCAGUCUUCGGAUGACUUCUUCGGAGUACCGGACAGGUGUCCGGUCCCGGCGAUGCGCCAUAUCUCGGCUCUGCCCACUUGAUAUAUUGACCCCUCGUGUGUAUGGGGUACGAGGCAAAAUAGCCUCUUCCAUAGCUCGAAAUGAGCUUCGCAGCCCAGAAACAGCUCGCAAAGGGCGACAUAGCCAGCGAUGUGUAAUAUGGAGGCGGGAGUAAAGUUAUGCAGCUGGAGGCCGUAGAACUCCAAGACCCCGUGGAGGAACGGGUGGAUUGGAAAUCCAAGUCCCCUUAAUAAGUAAGGGACAAGGCAUACCCGCUCCCCCAUGGAUGGGUUGGGAAAGCUCUCCGCUUGCUCCCCACCGUUAUAAGUGGCUAGUUCGGCUCGAACGGGGACCAUAUACGCUGGAGGGAGAAACCCCUGGGUCUGUAACUCUACUAAUUGGCUAUGGGGGACGGAACACUUCUUCCAAUUGCUUGGCUUAGGGCUACGGGAGCGGGAGGAGGAGCUGCGAUGGCCGGCCAUGAUGGGAUGGACUUUUCUGGGCGCGCUCCGAUGGAUACUCACUGUGGGAGGAUGGUGUGAUCUGGAUCUGAGGAUCCCCGUCUCUUUAAAUAGACGAUUUACUCACAUGGUUAGGGUGGCAAGUGUAAAAAUGCCCCGACUUCUCGAAUUCGCUCGACACGUGGAGGACAGCCAUUAUUGGGCGCAGAAGCCAAGGAGUGCAACAUUUAUGGGAAGCCAGACACUACUUGACAGGUACUCAGAAUUUGGAGAAGAACCCGCCUUGCAAUGCCGAAGACAAUCUGCGCGCCGGACUCAUCGUCAUUGAAGCCUGGUUCAGGGGCUACUGAGGGAGUCCUGGAUUAGGGGGUCCUCGGACAGCCGGACUAUAUACUUUGGCCGGACUGUUAGACUAUGAAGAUACAAGAUUGAAGACUUCGUCCCAUGUCCGGGUGGGACUCUCCUUUGCGUGGAAGGCAAGCUUGGCAAUUCGGAUAUGUAGAUCUCCUCCCUUGUAACCAACUUUGUGUAACCCUAGCCCCCUCCGGUGUCUAUAUAAACCAGAGGGUUUAGUCUGUAGGACAACAACAAUCAUAAUCAUAGGCUAGCUUCUAGGGUUUAGCCUCUACGAUCUCGUGGUAGAUCAACUCUUGUAAUACUCAUAUCAUCAAGAUCAAUCAAGCAGGAAGUAGGGUAUUACCUCCAUCGAGAGGGCCCGAACCUGGGUAAACAUUGUGUCCCCCGCCUCCUGUUACCAUCCGCCUUAGACGCACAGUUCGGGACCCCCUACCCGAGAUCCGCCGGUUUUGACACCGACAGCGUCCUUCUCCAACAUAGCUCUCUGACUCCACGUCGCCGCCAAGAAGCUAACCGGUCGUCAGUGGUCAACCCGCCUAGCUUGUCAUAACGAUUAGGGCAACUAGGAGCCCAAUGAUCAGGAUCCCCACAUGACAAACACCUUUCUUCUUGUCAUUCUUCUUCUUGAAGUUCGUGUGUUGCACAGCCUUGUUCUUCCCAUCAAACUUUGCUUUACCAUCAAACUUUCCCUUGUUCUUGAACUUGUGGGGCUAGAAGUUCUUCCUCUGUACCAGAUUGGCACUAGAUCCUCCCUCAAUUCCUCGAGCACGUGUGUCCUUUGCUCUCGCCUUUUCUUCCACAUCAAGAGUGCCAAUGAGAUCCACGAAGGAGGAAGCUUAGUGAUGAUACCUCCGGUAACAAACUUGUCUGGUAGCAUAUAACUGAAGUGCUCAAGUUCUCUAGAAAAUGACUGUAUUUCAUGAGCUUGCUCAACCACAGAGCGCUCUUCAAUCAUCCUGUAAUCAUAGAAUUGCUCCAUGAUGUACAUCUCAGUGCCAGCAACCGGAGGGUAGCAGCGGUGGCCUUACUUUGACCCGAGCGGCAGCGACCUACCGUGUUCUACUCUUCCUCGUUUUCUGUGUGGCGCGGCCUCAUUGGCAGCGGGGCAGGGCCUCGGCGGAGCCGGCGAUGUCCUCUGUCUCGUUGCCGGCGGGCGGCGCCUCGGCGGAGCGGGGGAAAUCCUCCCCUUCAUUGCCGACAGGGUGGGGCCUCGGCAGAGUCGGCGGUGUCCUAUGCCUCGUUGUUGGCGCCGCGGGGCCUCGGCGGAGCUGGGCCUCGUCAACGCCAGCGGAGCGGGGACUCGUCGGAGCCGGCAUUGUCCUCUGCCUCGUCCUCGGUCUCGCCAAACAGCGCCUGGCCCGCUUCAUCACCCUUUUUGUAGGCGGCCACAGCCUCCGCCACCCGCAUGCGGUACCGCCAGCGCUCGAGGCAGCCCUCGCGGGCAGAGCGGUAUGAGUCGAGCAGCACCUCCUGCUCCGCCCGCUCCGCGGCGAUCUGCUCCUCCGCCUGCAUGUGCUCCUGGGGGAGAUGGUGGUUGUAGGCGGCGUCGGCCUGCGCCUCCCGGAACUGCUCCUCACGCUUCUGCCUCACCGUGUCCAUAUAUUGGGCACGGGCCUCGCCAAUGGUCAUGGUGCAAUGCACCGGCUAGGAUGGCGCGGAGGAGGGGGUUGGCGCCAGAUCAUCGACUACCAUGUUCUCCAUUGGAACGUCGUCAUCCUCCGGCUGCCUGCAAGCCAGCCAGUCGGCAGCAAUGGCUGCCAUCUCCUUGUGGUCUGUCGUCCGCCCGUCCCAAAGAGCGCUGGAGCACGAGGAAGCCAUGGUGGGCAGUAGUGGUGUGGACAGGAGAAACGGAACGGAUGUGGAUGACUGCGGCUAUGGUCGGUGCAGCAGUUUAUGUAGCAAUGGUGGGCGGCGGAGGGACGGACUUGUGGUGCCAGAGUAGCCGCCUCAGCAAUCGCAUAUCAUUAAUGUGGGCGGCAGAAGGACGGACGGACGGACGGCACUUGUGUCGUUUGAAGGCGGAGCAAUCGCCUACACCGGGAAGCGGGGCGGGCGGCGCUGACCGUUUCGGGCGGAAAGCGCGCGCGGGCGAGGGAGGCGGUCUGGGUGGACCAGGGCAGUCAGACUCGUGCUUGGCAGCGGGUCGGUCCAGCAGCCAGACAUGCUGGCUCGCCAGCUAGCUCGCCGAGCUGAGCGACAACAAUCAGACGAUGGACGUAGCUUCUGACCAGGAGCUGGCACCACUGUCCAAUCCGGUUCAUGCCGUGUUCACCAUAGAGCAGGUGCGGCCGCACUUCGACGCCCUAAUGGAGGAAGAGCUACCAGCGCAGGAGGACCUGUGUUGCAACCUCCGUCUCCUCAACGAGCACCGGUGAACAAGCGAACGACAAUGCCGUCGUGGACAUGUGGCCCUAUGAUCCUGGCUUCCUGAAUGAGCAGCGGGCGAUGUAUCAGACCAUCCGUAGGGCCCGGGAGUCCCUCUCUGUCGUCCUUCAAGUUGUUGCGCUCGCCAUGGCGCCGCCGUCUCGCGUUGUCAACAUGGUUAACGGACAUGAGGAUGAGGAGAUGACUUUAGUUGGAGAGGAUGAUAGUGGGGACCCACCAGGGCCAUAGCCGCACGUACGCAAGAGCCUCCUUAUUAGUAUAUAAAACUAUAUUAAUUUUUUGCUUCCUCCUGGUUUCCUGACAUCACGGUCCCACACCAUUGUCAACCUAUGUAGUCAAUAAACGAGAGAAUUGCACAAGAAGCGGCCGACAGCUGGGACCAAGCAGCUCGAGCAGUAUUUGUGUUUUUGAGGUGUGAGCACUGCAGAGUUUUUCUUGAGCGAUGUUUAGCCCAGAUUUUAAUUUUUCUCCUCUGAACAACAAUGAAAACAUCGCUGCAGCUAUUAACUGGGCAGGCUGUGGCCCGUCUAGCCCAGGCCAGAUAUCCAGCCCAGAUAUUAAUUUUUUUUCAAGCUGAAAAUGGCUAGCCCAGCUAUACUUUUUUAAGGAAUACCCAGGCAAGGUCAAAAUGUUAUUCUCCGCCCCGCUGGGCUGCAAAUCUUUCCUAGGAGGGAUGCAUUAGGCUUAACAAGAAAAUGGGCUUUAAGAAAUAAUAAAUGGGAUGUAAUUAUAAAAACUAGGCAGUAACUAUAAAAAAUGCACCAAACACGUAAUUACUUUAUAAAAUAUUGUUUUUGGAUAUUGAAAAUUUUAAUUUCAUUAAUUGUUCCGAGCGCAAUGUUUUGUUGGAUUUUUACGUAAUAUAAAUUUAUAUUGAAAUUGUAUUUAAUCUGACUAGAAAUUUCGGGAUAAAAAUAUUUCGGAUCCCAUCAAAAUGUGGGAAAUUUUAUUGAAUUCUGUUUUGAACGGUUGGUUGAAAUGGGCUGUACUUUUAACAAACUAUAAAUGUGUUGUAGUAAAUUCCAUUAGAAUUGAAAAAUUGGCUGCACAUUCUUAGAAAUCUCAAAUGGGCUAUAAGUUCUCUGCCACACACUUGUGGCCUUAGUAAGUUGACGCGUCCCCUAAAAAAAGAGUUGACACGUAUGCAAGGCUUUGUCAACUUAUAGUCAACACACGGUUCUAGCAGCAGUGGCCGUUGGAUGUCCAUCCAACGGAUGCCGUGCUUCUUCUUCAAUAUCGGAUAUUCUAGCUUCACCCGCCCAAAAAAUGAUUCCUCCCCCUAACAUCUGGGGCGCACCAUUUCAGAAGCUGACCUAUGGGUCUACUAAGUUGACGCGUACCAAGGGCUUUGUCAACUUAGUCAAUAUAUAUGAUUCUAGAUGCAGUGACUGUACGAUGUCCAUCCAACGGCCGUCGUGCUUCUUCAACCUCUGGUCUUCUUGCUCCAGCCGCCCAAAGUAGCGCCGGUCGUGCCGCCUGCUUCUGCCUCCCGUGGUCGGCUGUGCUGCCGCGGAGGGCUCACCGCACCCUACUACUCCCACCGCUGGCCAGCCAUCCCUCUACUCAACCACACCCCAUGUUAUUCUACGACGACGACAGCCUCACACCGCAGCCGAACCAGUGAACCCUCGUACUCCUCUCCGUGUGGGUAUCCACUGCCGCGUCAUCCCCUUCCUAGGCCUCGCCGUCGUCCACCGCCGUGGUGCUCUCGGCACGGCGUGUUCAAUGUGGUCAACGACCGACUUCCAUCGGAAGAGUACUGUACGUGGAGAGGCUGGCAGCUGGGUCCACGGCAGCCGCAAGGAAGUGCCUCCUUAUUACACGCAAAAUAAUUAUUCCUCCACCUGAUAGCGGGGACCCACCGGAUGGGCCACCGUAUUUUGCAAAAAAAACAUUUCCCCCUCGACUGCUGGGACCCACCAGCUACAUCUUCGCACGCAAGGAAGUGCGUCUGGGCAAAAAAACGAUUCGCCCCCCUAACUGUUGUGACCCACCAGCUACAUCUUCGCACACAAGGAAGUGCCUGACAGUCGGGACCCACCUGGUCGAAGCGUACGUAGCAUUGUCAUUCUAGUCGCGAACGUGUACGUACAUACUGGUCCAUGUAGAGGCACGCACAUUUCGUAGCAGAGGCGCGCACGUAGCAUGUACACGUACGUACAGCGGCCAGUGUGCAAGAAAGAAAAUACGGCCACGUACGUACAUACGGGCAGGGUCUCGAACGCCUACUCGUGCAAACGUACGGCCAGGGCUCAUGUACAUGGCUGGGUCGGAAUGGAGAAACAACGUCGUCGUCGUGUUCAUGGGGAGCCAACCAGCUGGGUCGGAACGGAAUGCGUCGUCGUGUUCAUCGGGAGGGCUUGGACGAAACAGCCGAUGGAAACGAGGCCUGGCGUACCGCACAACGGAGGAAACGGCCUUGUGUUCGACCGGCCACGUUCGAAACGGGAUCCUGUUCAUCGGGAGGGGUCUGGCGUACCGCAAAACAGAGGAAACAGACCUCCUACGGUCGAAACGGGGUCCUGUUGAUCGGGAGGGGUGUGGCGUACCGCAAAACGGAGGAAACGGACUUGUGUUGGAGCGCUACGGUCGAAACGGGGGUCCUGUUCAUCGGGAGGGGUGUGGCGUACCGCAAAACGGGACUCCAAGGGAUACUGUUCAUCUCCACUGUCGACCCCCUCCAGCCUCCACAGGCUACUGUUCAUCCACCGUCGACCUCCUCCAGCCUCCACCUGCGACUGUUCAUCCACGGGCUCCUGUUCAUCCAGCCUCCACCGCGCGCUACUCCACCGGCUACUGUUCAACCUGCCCUCUCCACACGGGCUCCUGUUCAACCACCCCUCCACAGGCUACUGUUCAUCCAACCCUCCACCGUCUACUGUUCAUCCAGCCCUCCACGGGGUCGUCCUGUUCAUCCAGCCCUCCACGGGGUCCUGUUCAUCUAGCGCCAACCGGCUCGAUCGAUCGGGGUCCUGUUCAUCCAGAGGCAACACCACGGGGUCAUGUUCAUCCACCCGCACCGGGAACUGUUCAUCCAAACCCACCCCCCAGCAACGCUCACUGUUCGUCCAGAGGCAGCAUCGAUUGGCUUCAGUUAGCAGCAGUAGCGAAGGAAUCGCUCGAUCGGGUUCAGUUAACAGCCAUCAAUCGAUCACUCGGGUUCAGUAACGCGUAGCCUGCAGUGCAAUCGCUCGGGUUCAGUAGGCGAACGCCUCGCUCAGGUUCAGUUAGAGCCCAACGCCUCGCACCCACGCGCGUGCGUGUAUGAGAGAAAUGCGCAAACCGCCGUGCAUCGCUCGGCCCCGACCACCCACCGUAACCGGGAACACCCCGAUAUUUUCCUCGCCCUUGCUUCUACCACGGUUUUUUCCGUCAUGGACGGCCCAAAGAAUGUCAUGUAGCUGCGUCUCCGGCCCGCCCAGGACAAAAAGCCCAUUUUCUGUCUUGAUUUUUUGUCAUAGAAGUAGGAGCCCACCACAUCUAUGAUGAUACCGGGUUUUGUUACAAUUAUCAUCAUAAAAGUGUCAUAAGUAUGAAAGAAAAAAUUUCGUUCGGCCCAAAAUGUCACGGAUGUGUCUUUUUUUGUAGUGUUUCCACUCCUUAUUCUCCUCAUAUCGAUAUCUCACCCAAAGCUUGAAAACUUCAAUCACACAAAACUUAACGGAACUUCGUGAGAUAGGUUAGUAUGAUAAAGAGUAGACCAUUCACAUUGGUACUGUCAAAGCCAUGGUUCAUAAUUGUUCUCACACAAUGCCUACUGUACCAUAUCAUUUCUACAAUUUAUAUUGAGAAGUAUAAGCCAUAGAAACUAGAAAACAAGCAAACUAUGCAAUGAAAACAGAAUCUGUCAGAAACAGAACAGUCUGUGAUGAUCUGAACAGCAACCAUACUUUUGCUACUCCAAAAAUUAUGAAAUAAUUUUGUGGACGUGAGGAAUUUGUCUAUUAAUCUUCUGCAAAAAUAAUCAACUCAAAAUCACUCUUCUGUAAAAAUGACAGCUAAUCCCGUGACCGCAAAGUUUCUGUUUUUUUACAGCAAGAUCACAUUAACUUUCACCCAAGUCUUCCCAAAGGUCUUACUUGUCACUUUAUUGAAACAAAAGCUAUAAAACAUGAUUACUACAGUAGAUUAAUCAUGUAAACACACAAAAACAGUAAGGGUAAAUAUUGGGUUGUCUCCCAACAAGCACUCUUUCUUUAAUGCCUUUUAGCUUGGCAUGAUGAUUUCAAUGAUGCUCAUAUAAAAGAUAAGGAUUGAAACAUAAAGAGAGCAUCAUGAAUAAUAUGACUAGCACAUCUAAAUCUAACCCACUUCCUAUGCCUAGGGAUUUUGUGAGCACAUAAUUUAUAGGAACAAGAAUCAACUAGCAUAGGAAGGAAAAACAAGUAUAACUUCAAAACUUUAAUCACAUAGAGAGGAAACUUGAUAUUAUUGCAACUCCUACAAGCAUGUAUUCCUCCCUCAUAAUAAUUUUCAGUAGCAUCAUGAAUGAGUUUAACAAUAUAACCAUCACAUAAAGCAUUCUUUUCAUGAUCUACAAGCAUAGAAAUCUUACUACUCUCCACACAAGCAAAAUUCUUCUCAUUCGGAAUAGUGGGAGCAAACUCAACAAAAUAACUGUCAUGUGAGGCAUAAUCCAAUUGAAAGUUAAAAUCAUGAUGACAAGUUUCAUGGUUAAUAUUAUUAUUUAUAGCAUACAUGUCAUCACAAUAAUCAUUAUAGAUAGCAACUUUGUUCUCAUAAUCAAUUGGAACCUCUUCCGAAAUAGUGGAAUCAUUACUAACUAAAGUCAACACUCUUCCAAAUCCACUUUAGAUGAUAGUAUUAUUCAUACUCCAAAAGAUAUAAGUGAAGUUCAUGGAGUAUUCUACAAUUAAUAUAGACUAACCAAUAACCAAGCUCAAAAUAUAUAAGUGAAGCACACGAAGCAUUCUAUAAAACCAUACUCAAAAGAUUUAAAUGAAGCACAAAGAACAUUCUAUAAGGUCAUACUCAAAAGAUAUAAGUGAAGCACAUGAAUCAUUCUAUAAAUCGAUGAAGGGAUAUCUCAUACUAGCGUGGUUCUUAAAAAAAAGAAAAACACAAAGGACACAAAUCAUGUGAACAAAACAAAAACCAAGGUAUGCCGAUAAUUGUUGAAGAAGAAAGAUGGGAUGCCAACCGGGGCAUCCCCAAGCUUAGAUGCUUGAGUAUCCUUGGAAUAUUUACUGGGGUGCCUUGGGCAUCCCCAAGCUUGAACUCUUGCCUCUCUUUAUUCUUCUCACAUUGGCAACUCCUCGUUCUUCGAACACUUCAUCCACAAAAACUUAACAAAAACUUUGUCAGAUCCGUUAGUAUACUAAAGCAAAUCACUACCUUUAGGUGCUGUUGCAAACUCAUUCCAAUUUCAUAUUAGCACUUUAUCUACUGUAUUCCAACUUCACCAUGGUUCAUACCCCCCGAUACUACCCAUAGAUUCAUCAAAAUAAGCGAUCAACACAUAGAAAACAGAAUCUGUCAAAAACAGGACAGUCUGUAGUAAUCUGGAGGUUUAGUAAACUUCUGUAACUCCAAAAAUUUCUAAAAAAAUAUGACAAUUUAAAAAAUUUGUACAGAAGUAAUGUGCAAAAAGUUCCAGACCCAUUUGACUUUCUAGUAAAAAAAUGUAAAUUCACGCGCUAUAGCCAAAGUUUCUGUUUUGUACUGCACAUAGUAAACAAGCAAUCUAAUCAUCCUAAAACCAAAGCCUGACACAUUAUUUUUAUAAUACAAUGGAUAUAUACAAGGGGGUAAUUAUUUUCAGAGAAGCUUCCAUGAAUUUUUUUACAUUUUUUCCAUGAGCAUGAACACAAGUGUUGAAGGUUGACCCUCACUUCCCAAUGCACAACCUUCCAAUCACUUCUCUUAUUGAAAAACUUUUUAGGCAUGAGAGGCAGGGUUUUUUUUGUAUUUUCAUUCUUUAAAAAAAAUGUAUGUUUAACCCACAACUAAACAGAAACAAAAAGGAAAAACAAAAUCUACUUAGUGAAGAAAGCAAACAAGCACACACGAGAAUAUCAACCCCACGCUAUUGCUCCCUGGCAACGUCGCCAGAAAAGAGUUUGAUAAUCCCCAAGUGCAGGGAAUCAUCGUAGCAAUUCCCAAUGGUGGAAGUGAUAACACUACAAAAAAAAUACACUUCCGUGAUGAUACGUGUUUGUCACAGUAGGUCGCGUUUUUUGUCAUGCAUGUACAUCCAUGACGAUUUUAUGACAGAAUCAAGAUAGUCAUACAUGUGCUGUCGUAGAAGUGUUCCAUGACAUUACCAAAAUUAUCAUCACGGAAGUGUCCACUUCCAUGAUGAUAAAUCGCGCGUCACAGAAGUGCUUUCAUCAAGGGUGACCGACACGUGGCAUCCACCGUAACGGAACGCCGUUAAGCUAUCGGGUCGGGUUUUGGAUCCGAUAACCCGUUAGCAGCCCCGACCAAUGGGAAAUUUCCACAUGUAAAAUUCUUAUUGGCCGGACGAAACACGUGUCAGCUCGUCAGUGGGUCAGAUAGGCGCCUAUGAUAUGUCGACACGUGCCAUGGCUCACCACUGGCCCAUUUAGCUUACAAAGCCGGCCCGUUUGACUUGGUCAAAAGUUAACAGGCUGGCCCAUGAAAAGCCUGUUAACGGUCUCUUCGCAAAUAGCCCAUUUUACGGCCCGUUAACUCACGGCCCGUUAGGCCCUAAAGGAAAUCGGCCCAACAACGUCAUGUGGGCCGUCGAAUAUAACACCAGCCCAUUUCACUUUCGGCCCAUGUAUGGCCCAUGAUGUCUUUCGGCCCAUAUGAGGCCUUCGUAUCUUUCGGCCCUUUACAGGCCCACGGUGACUCUAGCCCAUAAUGAACAGUAAUUUUCUUUAUACCCGUUAACGACCCGUGAUUUACAUGGGCCGUUUCUAGCCCGUGUUAGCUUUCGGCCUAUUGACGGCCCAUACGUUCUUGGGCUCCUUUUCGGCCCUCGAUUACUUCCGGCCCGUUACUGGCAUGUUCCCCUAAUGGGCCAAAUUUGGCCCAUGGCAAGAGUCGGCCCGUUACUGGCCUGUUCCCCUAAUGGGCCAAAUUCGGCCCAUGGCAAGAGUCGGUCCGUUACUGGCCUGUUACCCUAAUGGGCCAAAUUCGGCCCAUGGCAAGAGUCGGCCCAUUUCUGGCCUGUUAACCCGUUGCGCUGUUUCCAGCCCGUCCUAUAUUCUGGCCCAUUAACGACCCGUUAUGCCUGUGACAGAAUUAAGCCUUUGCUGUCCUACGGCCUGUUACCGUGCUGGGCCGAUACCAAUUACGCCCGAUUACGGCCCAUGUAGACCCAUUUAUCCGACGGCCCGAGGCCCACCGAUUACAGGCCCAUUUAUCGACGGCCCGUAGGAGACCCAUGGAUCCUACGGCUCGUAUAUGGCCCAUGGUAGUUGCGGCCACUAGCAAACCAGGGAAAAAGAAGACUAGGAAAUAAAUAAGGCCGAAACUAACGCUAGGCUAUUAAGGCGAUUGCACAGAUUACAUCCACUCGGCAUCAAAGAUCGCCACCAGUGCAAAUAUAGGGAACACCCUACACUAUACAAAAAUGGCUUGCUAUUUUCUUCAGCCGGUGGCUGCACGUUAAGAAUAAAUUUUGUAUCGCACCAAAACAAAUUACAACUAUAUAACAAAAGGAAGGUUGGCAUAAAACUUAACAGUCUAGCAGAUAAAUGCACCACCAGAAGUUCAGAAGCUUAGUUCAUUUGACCUGACUGUUACGUUUUCAUGCUGUAUUGUCCGAUGGAGCACCAUAACCCUCGCCUUCAUUUCCCCUAGGCUCCUGAACAACAUAGCAAAUGUCUGAUAGUCUGGUUUCAAAACCAUGCAUAUCUUGAAGACAUUGAGCAAUGUUUCUCCUUGUUUCACAAAGGGUCUCUGUUAGGGAAUGGACUUGUGUCUGGAGCGCAGAUACAACAUUGCUUUGAGCUUGCAUAUCUUGAUCAUGAGGCAGUUUGGACGAUAUUGCCUUAACAACCAACCCAGUAUUACGCAGGAACGUGCUUUUGGCACUGUUAGUGGAUAGGUACUGACCCACUGCAGCAAGAGCUGACAUUGCGGUUAUAGUUGCCUCGCCACCUUCAGAAGGUGGCGGUUCGACCAUUUUUUCCAUAGCUUGCUGAAAAGUUGAGGUUUUACAUUAGUAGUACCAGAACAGAAGAUAUUAAGGAGGCAGCAAAACCAAACAAAAUAGCUUUGGUCUAUAUACAGAACUUAUUCUGGUGAACCCAUGUAAAAUAUUAGUUGUAUUUUAUUGCAGAGUACAUAAUAAAACCAGGUUCCAAACAUAUGACCAUGUACCAUCGCUAAUGUAUUGUCUAUUUCUUCACAUUUUAUUGAGGGCUAAGGAUAAAGAGACGAAGUUUAUAAUACGAUAAGCAUAGUAUGACAUCAUUCAUAUCACAAAACAACUGAGAACAGACAAACAGGCAAUUGUAACGUUGUGUGGGCAAGUCCAGCAUGGAACUAGAUUACGGGUCAAGAUCAAAGGAACAUCACUCCUCUCUUUUAAACCUUGUAAGGUGCAAUGAUACGCUAAGACAAUUGUGUAUAAAAUUGAAAAGAGUAAUAGACAUUGGCUGCAAACCAUGCAGUUCAAGGCACAAGUUAGAGUAAGUAGUAGUAAAAGGCAUGAGGAUUAAGGACUUACAACAGCGGCUUUGACUGGUGUAGUCAUGCCCUUCUUCUUGCUGGUGUGACAGUCCUUGAAGAUUUCCACAGCAUUUGGUUCAGGUACUUUUUGGUCCUUGCGGACUUUCCUCUGCAUUUCGAACAAGUCAAUAUAGAUCUGAUAAUAUGGUAUAGCGAAAAGAGUGAAACAGCAGCUAAUUACAAGAGCCUCGCAGUGUGCAAUAUAGCUACGAGAUCCUGUCGUCUAUUGGAAUUGCACUUUCGUACGGUUGGCAUUGUUCUUUGAACAGUUCACCUACAAGAAGAUAGAUUUGUGUGGCACAUGCGUAAAUAGGACUUCAACAUGUGAUCUGAUCACAUAUAUAUAUAAUGUACCUGAUACUUCGGAUCAGACCAGUGUUUAACAAGGCCCCUCCAGUCUUCAUCCGAUAUAUUUUCCACUGGAGAUGUUUGGGAAAGUUCACUGUUAGCCUUGCCUUCAAAGUGAGUUUUCCUCAAGUUAUACCGAUACUGUCGCAGAGCAGACUUGAAAACAUGGGUGCAAGCCUGUCUGGUUGCAUCAUCUUGGCUAUCCAACUUGAACCUCAUGUGUUGAAAAUUAUGGGAGUAUCAUUAUCAGCAACCUAGAAAGUAUGGGACAAAGCAAGACGAUAUUACUAGUUUCCAUACAUAACCAUACUUACAGAUAAAUGGUCGUGUUGAACUGGGUUUUGUCUUUGUCAUUCCUGUACUGAAUCCAUGUUGGGAGGAUACGUACAUGACACCUAACGGCAACCGCUGCCUCUGAUACUAACUUGGCUGACUCUGUAGCAUCAUGUGGCCUUUUUAAACCUGCCUCAAAACGGAUCUCCAUUCUUCCUCCUCUAGAUUUAGUUAACCUAUCGAGCAUUAUCCCUGAUGUUUGUUUCCUCUUGCGCCUAGGUGCUAGUCCAACAACGAACAUAGGAAGUGUUAGUGUACACCAAACUGUGAGACUACAUAUAAAGAAGCAUGCAACUGUAACUUGACUCCAGCAACUACCUUCUUGCUGUUGAAGCUCACAAGGUUCAUCUGAUAUUGCCAACUCGUCUUGUGUCAAGAGUGCUUGGGAAGUAGUGUCAGGUGGCAAGGGAGCUUGGGAUCUGAUACUGACGCACGCAACACUCACACGUACACACGCAGCCACGCACGCACGCAACACUCACACGCACACAUGCAACACUCACACGCACACAUGCAUGCACACACCAGUACACCACACGACCAACACACACUCUCACGCUCAAGUGCUCAACCUACACGUGCAUGCGCACACAUCAGGCCCUGAUAGACACAAACACAACCAGGUGAUUCCCGCGCACGGGUUGGAGCGUAAAUUUGUGUUUAUCUGACCUUUUGCCUAUGCAAACUGACAGGUGGGACCCACAAGGAACAUGGUCAAUUUAACUAGUCAACAUGGCGCCACGCAGACUAUUUGGCCGGUCAACAGAGUGCAAUCCGAUGCUGAAUUGUGAGCAAGUGACCGUAUAAUCACCGCAAAACGUAUAUAGUGACCUUAAUCACCUUAUUCUGAAGUUCGGUGACCGUAUUACGCUUUUCUCUCUGUAGGCCCUCCAAAACUACAUCUCUUCACGUUCUCGCAUGUUACAUCUAACAACUAUGCAAUACAGCACUACUACUACACUCUAACACAAUAAAUCAUAUGUGUUUUUAGUUUUACUAGAUAUCAUAUUGUUACUUAUAAUUAUUCAGUUUGCAUACAUUAAAAUUGCCUUUGAAAUGUAUGGCCAGUAUCAUCUACCGCGCGGGAAAAAUCCCGCCCUUUCCUGUUUAAUCGGGUUUGUAUCGAUGGAUCGUGCGAAAUAGCAAAACUAUAGUACUAUACAGUACUACAAGUGACAGUUCACUGGGCCGUCGUGUCGUCUAUUCCUCCGUCGUAAGAGUGGAGCGCUCGCUUUCAUAAAUCUUCUAGUCCCUUUCGCCGACAUGUGGGACAUCAAGCUACCGGGUACACGUGCCAUACCGGAAUACAGUGCAGAGCAGCCGGGGUGAAGCACCCCAGUCAUGGCGCCGGCGUAGUAAUGAGCAAUGAGGCGUCAAAUCACAAGCUUCACCUUUCCCGCAGUUAAGUUGGAGGGACGAAGCAACCAUCAUUUCACUCGUUGCUGAAUCCGCUUCUGCCUCAUCUUCUUCAACUUAACCACGUGUUGCUUCUGCCGUUGUUCUGCCUCAUGUGGGACGCGGAUCGGCUUGGUAAAGCACUGACACGUGGGACCGCAUGUUAGCAAACCGCCAGGACAACGUCCUCCGAAAAUAAGAACCCUAAUCCUAGACUUACAAAGGGCUACGUAGCUUCUACGUAUACUUUCCAUCUAAUCUAUAUAUGCCCCCCUGAUUUUUAGGUGGGGUGGGCCUAAUCCUCUCCUUUAAUCCAAUCAAAUAGUCCCACAUCACAUCAGUUCAUAACUUUACGUAAACCAUUACGUGGAUGUAGCAUUGCUCAAAUAAGAAACCUCCCCCGCCAUCCGCACGGCAAAAUCACCUCCUUUUUACUAAUCUUGAUUCUAUAAUUUUUUAGAUCAAUAUAAUUGAGAUUUGUAUAGAUAGCACACAGAAGCAAAACCAAGUGGUACGGUUAAGGGCAUCCACAAUGUGUAGCCAAAUGGGAAAAUAGCUUUUGGCAUCGUGGGAACCAUUGUGGACGGUGUUGCCAAAGCAAAAAAGAUGGAACCGAAGCUCCCUGAUUGAUUGAUUGAAGGAAUAGAAAAAUGCUUGGACGCAUGUAGUACAAUAUAGAGCACAGAGUCUACUCCCCUAUCCCUUCUAUCACAAAUCACAAAGCAGUGAGGCGUCAAAUCACAAAAGCACGGACGAAGCAACCAUCAUUUCACUCUUCGCUGACUCCGCUUCUCCAUCGUCUUCUUCGAGAAACCAUCUCACCGCACUAGUACUCCUAGUAGUACUAGUAAAGGACUUCCUGGAUGCAAAUAAGGUGGUUGUCUCGGCUUGCAGGCGGCACUUGCGAACGACUUACCGUGGUCUCCCUCAAUGGUGUUCUUCGUCGAACGCACUUCGCCAAACCACCCAAAAAAAGAUAUCGUCGACGUCACCGCAAUGGGGAAGGAAGUCAAAUAUAGUUACUACCUCCAUUUUUUUGUACACAAGGCCAGUAUAUCAAAAUUACAAUUUGCAAAGGGCCACUAACACUAAUCGAGGCAAAAUUGAUGGGGUUAGCAACCAAGGACAUUAAUAUCCCCUGCAUGCAUGCGGAAGUGAGAAGGUUGGUUUGCAUGGCCCUGCAUUAAUCAAGCGAUGAGGAGUGAGAUGGUUAGCUCUUUGGUCUUUGGAGAAAAAAUAUGCAUUAAUUGACACAUGAAACGAGGAUUUGUAUCGAUUAAAUCCCGCGAAGGAAAACCCCGCCUUUCUUUUUUAACACUAGUACUCCUAGUACGUACGUACUUAUCCUGUUUGGGUCUAGGCCUUGCAUUGCCAAACUUCGCCACACAUUUUUGCCAAGCUUGCCUAAAGUUCUCAAAAUGAGAAGGAGGUACACUUGCGCACGGCUGUCGCGGUCGCACCGCACCCUCACACGGUCGCUCCUGCAUGCCGGGGUCGCACCACACCCUCACACAGUCGCUCCUGCACGCCGCAAACCCAACCAAGGGAACGCACCCCCACUGACACGUGCUGUCGCAUGUGAACAAACCAAACUCAGCCAUCCUAUCGCUGACACAUAAUUUUCGUUCAUAGAGUAUGUUUAUCCAACUGCAUGUUGGGGAGUAUCCGUACGGCCCAUGCGGUGGUCUGUUGGGGAAGAAGAAGAGGUGAGGAAGAAGGAAAGAAGGGUUAGGAGACGUAGGAUAUUCAUCCAACCGCCUGAAAUGGUAGACUGACCCAAGUCAGGCGACUUGCAUAACAAAUAUAUGUUUUUACACAGCAAAAGAUCCAUAAAAACAACAACAUAAAGAAAAACUAUCACUGCUCGCGGAAAGAGACGGCCUCGUCGUCUUUGGCUGCCGGCGCGAACCAGCCGUCACUGCCGACGUGUGUCUCCGCACCGUGGUUGUCCUCGGCCUCCAGCUACUCGUUCAAGCGGAGCGUGUGGGCACUCUGCACGGACGAGAGCACAGCCCGGUUCAAGUCGACGACGUCCGGUUCCGCCUGCAGGAGGGCCUCGAUGGCAGCGGCAUCCGCGCGCUCCGCGUCGAGUCGAGCCUCCGCCGCUCGGUUCAAGUCCAGGAUGUCCGGUUCCGCCUGCACGAGGGCGUCGAUGAGAGCGGCAUCCGCGCGCUCUGCGUCGAGUCGAGCCUCUGCCGGCUGGUUCAAGUCCAGGACGUCCGGUUCCGCCUGCAGGAGGGCCUCGAUGGCAGCGGCAUCCGCGCGCUCCGCCUCAAGUUGAGCCUCCGCCGCCCGGUUCACAUCCACGGCAUCCGGUUCCGCCUGCAGGAGAGCCUCGAUGGCAGCGGCAUGCGCGCGCUCCAUGUCGAGUUGAGCCUCUGCCUCCCGGUCCUCCUUUAGUAUCGCCAUGUUGAACCGCUGGUCCGCCUGCACCAUGGGGGACUCGGACGCCGGCACGAAGUCGGCGUCCAUCGUCUCAUACCCAUCAGGGGCCUUCUGCGCCGCGACCUCCGCCAUGAACAUUGGAUUGGCUUCCUCCUCCUCGUAGCUUGGCUCUAAGAACUCGGGGAUUGGCCCACCGCAAAGCGAGCUUGGGAACGGAGGUCUGUGGCGCCGACCGCUGCCGCGAUUUCUGCGUGGCGCUCCGGCGUCAGCAUCUUGCGGUGCACCAUGGCUUUCCGGCGAACUAGGGGACGCUUGAUGCGGGCUAGGGGAUCGAAAGGUGGGGGAAUGGGCUGGAGAUUUGGUGUGGUUUUAGGACAGUUGCUGGCGUAGGCCGAGCAGCGAAGGUUCUGGUGUGAAUAGUGGUUCCGGUGACGACCGGUCAAUCUGUUUUGACUGUACAUCGCUCUUGUCGCGUUCGCGUUGCAGCCCGGCACGCUGGACCCUCCAUGUCACUCACCGAAUGGAACGCGCUUCAUCUUGCGUUUUCGCUCGCUUGUGGGACCACAGUUGAGAGCAAACCGACGUCCCUCCCCCUCCCCCGCCCGCGUCAUUUAUUAUACCACCACUCCCUCCGUUUUAUGCGGAGUAAAUAAAAACAGAGGGAGUAUACUAUAGAUGAGGAUCCCCUGAUGUGGCCGAACCCAUUGAGUAACUGACAUGCGGGGCCUAGCAAGCAUGGGGUCCGCCAGUAAGUGACCGAAAGGGAGGGUAAGGCAGGGAUACCUACGUCAGAGGAUCCACUUCCACUAUACUACUUUGACCAAAUGUUAGAGUAAUAAUAUAUGACAUGCAACUUACACAAAUGUUAGAGUAAUAAUAUAUGACAUGCAACUUACACAAAGCAUACAUGGUCUAAUGCGUUUUUCGAGGCUAACUUUGACCAAAUGUUAGAGUAAUAAUAUAUGACAUGCAACUUAACACAAAGCAUACGGUCAAAUUCAUAUGUGAAAGGAGUUUCCAAUGAUAUAAUUUUCACAUUAUACAUCUCAUGUACUAUUAAUCUUGUCAAUAGUCAAAUUGGAAACCAUCUCGAGUACAAAUCUAGGAGUACGUACGAAUCUAACAAUAUUGAUUGGGCGUUGUUGAAUGUUGAUACCUUUUUUAUCAAAGUAGAGAUACUUUGAAUACACAUAAAACUUAUAUGUAAGCUAGAAAGGAUAGGGGGAGUAUAUUGUACAUUCAAAAACGAAACGAACAUUGAAUACCCUUUAUAUAUGAUUUGCGGAUGCUAUGAUCACCGGUUCAAAAUUUUGAAUACGCCUUAGGUAUCACGUGCCCCCACUCGUUCCCUCUCGAUUUCAUCUCGGGGUCCGGAGAUCUAUUGAAAGAGGACUAGGGUGGGUACAUGCGAAUGAUACUCGGCGGAAUGUUCAAAUGAGGCAUGCGGGAGGAUGGACUCGACUGGAGGGCGACAUGAUCGAUGGAGAAGAGGGUUGGAGAGGAAUGAGAAAUAAGCAAACGCUACAUGAUUAUACUUGAACGGCUCAAAUAAACAAUAAGUUGUCUCGCUUGGCCUACAUAGUGAAAGGCCUAAUGAGCAACGUGGAGCACUGACGCUCGAAUAUGGCCGGGAAAAUAGGGAAACUGACAUGUGGGGCACACCCGUCGGGACGACGUAGCGCAGACUAGUCCAAUGGAGGAGCUGGCCCACGACCUCCUCGCCACCGACAACCGUUCAUGUGGGUCGUUGGGGCCAACAACGGGGCGCGGCUCCAGCACCGCCUCUGGACACGGCGACCCGGUGAGCGACAUGCUCAUAUCGUCGCUAGACACGGUCGGUUUCAGUGUGCCGAGGGUGGCGUUAGUGCUGUGGCACGACCAACGGUAUGUUUGGUUUGUGCCCAAGGUUGCCCCAUCAAAGCAUUGGGUAGCCAAAAUUUUGGUUGAGGUAUUGGUUGCCCAUGAUUUGGCCGACAUUGGCAAGAAAAAUGAACUAGAGUUGGCUAGAGUUCAUUGGCAUGCCAAAGAAAUGGCAACCAUACAAACAAAGACCAAUCUUUGGGUCAUGACCAAAAUUUUGGUUGAGGUAUUGGUUGCCCAUGAUUUGGCCGACAUUGGCAAGAAAAAUGAACUAGAGUUGGCUAGAGUUCAUUGGCAUGCCAAAAAAAUGGCAACCAUCCAAACAAAGACCAAUCUUUCGGUCAUGACCAAAAUUUUGGUAAGGUGCACUUUGGCCACAAUCCAAACACACCCCAACACCCGGCUCGUCGAGGAUGCACGGGGCGCCGCGACGCGUCCGCGGAGUGGUGUAGCGCGGCCAACUGCAUCCUCUGGACCUGAGACCAUGCCGGGUCGUCUUGUUUUUCAAUGACAUGCGGGGAUCGCAUGUGAGCAAAGGGCAUCUCCAACGUUGCCACGACCGCAGCUAACUACCCUGGCACACCAAAACCCUCGUCCCUCGCGCCGUCGCGCGGUGUGUUCUCAGCCGGCGCCAGCCGCCCGCAUUCAUGCCGUCCAUUCAUAUGUCGUCGUUAAGAGGCUCGGUGCCCGAGGAACCAACUCCGGCGACUUAAUGACGCACCCGGACGCUUGGCCUCACCAGAAUGCGCUACUUAAAGCGGCAAUGCCCAGCUAACCUCCACACCAUAGCGCAUCGUCCUCCUACCUGGCACCACAUCCGCCAUGACCGCAAGUGCGAACGCUCUACGGGAGAGCUUGUCUUCAGGGAUGAAGCUCGAGGUCGCCGCCCUCGCUCAAGUCGCCUCUCGCAAUGUAAUAGCGGCGUAGCCGGACGCGGACGCGACCGCACAAGCAGUGGCCACGCUGGCGGCCGACGACGGGAGCACGUCAGCCACGUGUCCUACUUGCCGCCAUCCAACGUCCGGCACCGCCGAGGUCGGGGACUCCUCUGAGGAUGAGUAGGGCAUGGGAGGCGGCAGGGCAUGGCGUGCCAACUGGCUGGUCUGUAUCCCGUGUUCUACUCUUCCUCGCCGGAGACCGCACCUUCACUUCACGGGUCUUGAACCCCGCCCCCGUACAUAGAGAUCGCAGAUGGAGGACGUCGAUCGCCGCCGUAGAAUAGGUUUAGGGUCGGGUUUCUUUUAUUUUUCUGUCCUAUAAAAGUUCGAAAUGUAAUGAAAAUCUGCCGUGUUUGCAUUAAUCUCGGCCGGUGUAUAUGAACUUUCACAAUAAUAUACAUGGUGGUGGGCCCCUCCCUCCCCCCAAUCUACAAUCAACAGCUCACACGUUUCACAUUACGUUAAUUACGUAACUGGGAUUACGUAGGUGUAGCAUUACUCGUCCUAAAAAACCCAACUAAGCCAACCUCCCAGCAUAUCGAGCGGGAAAAGACC
rnacentral:lncRNA from 1 species